rnacentral:lncRNA from 1 species
UUUUUUUGUUUUUGUUCCUGUUUAGUAAUAAAUUUUGCAUCUACCUUCUGUUUAGAUGUGUUUUUAUCUUUUAAUUAGUGUUUGUGCCAAGUAGAACCUCUAGGAUAACCUAUGAUGAUAGUUGAUUUGAUUUUGCUGAAAAACAGAAACUUUGCGUUCACGAAUAUAGUUUUGUUAAAUCACAGAAACAUGAUUUUGCGUUGAUUCUUUUUGCUGCUGAUCAAUAGACAAAUUUUCCAGGACUUCCUAUUUUGGUAGAAUUUUUAGAGUUCCAGAGGUUUGCGCUAGUGACAGAUUGCUACAGACUGUUCUGUUUUUGACAGAUUCUGUUUUUCGUGUGUUGUUUGCUUAUUUUGAUGCAUCUAUGGCUAGUAAAAUAGUUUAUGAACCAUAGAGAAGUUGGAAUACAGUAGGUUUAACACCAAAAUAAAUAAAGAAUGAGUUCAUUACAGUACCUUAUGUGGUGGUUUUGUUUUCUUUCACUAACGGAGCUUAUAAGAUUUCCUGUUGAGUUUUGUGUUGUGAAGUUUUCAAGUUUUGGGUAAAGCUUUUAUGGACUAUGGAAUAAGGAGUGGAAAGAGCCUAAGCUUGGGGAUGCCCAUGGCACCCCAAGAUAUUCAAGGAUAGCCAAAAGCCUAAGCUUAACUUUACUUGGAGCUAUAUUUUUAUUCGCCACAUGAUAUGUGUUUUGCUUGGAGCGUCGUGUAUUAUAUUAGUCUUUGCUUUUUAGUUUACCACAAUCAUCCUUGCUGUACACAUCUUUUGGGAGAAGCCCACUUUAUUAGAAUUUGCUAGAAUACUCUAUGUGCUUCACUUAUAUCUUUUGAGCUUGAUAGUUUUUGCUCUAGUGCUUCACUUAUAUCUUUUAGAGCACGGCGGUGGUUUAAUUUUGAAGAAAUUGCUAGUCUCUCAUGCUUCACUUAUAUCUUUUUGAGAGUUUUUUAGAACAGCAUGGUAUUUGCUAUGGUUACAAAUUUGGUCCUAGAAUGAUGAGCAUCCAAGUUGGGUAUAAUAAAAACUAUCAUAGGAAGUGAAUUGGAUGCUAUGAUCAAUUUGAUGAUUGAUAAUUGUUUUGAGAUAUAAAGGUAGUAAUGUUAGGGUCAUGCUAGUGGGUAAUUAUGAAAUUGAGAAAUACUUUUGUUGAAGUUGGCAAGUCCCGUAGCAUGCACGUAUGGUACAAGUUGUGUGACAAAUUUGUUGCAUGAGGUGCUAUUUUGAUUGUCUUCCUUACGAGUGGCAGUCAGGGACGAGCGAUGGUCUUUUCCUACCAAUCUAUCCCUCUUGGGGCAUGCGUAGUAGUACUUUGCUUCGAGGGCUAAGUACACUUUUGCAAUAAGUAUAUGAGUUAUUUAUGACUAAUGUGAGUCCAUGGAUAUACGCACACUCAUCCUUCCACUUUGCUAGCCUCUAUUAUUACCGCACAUCUUUCGCCGGUAUCAUAAACCCUUUAUUUACCUUCCUCAAAACAGCCACCAUACCUACCUAUUAUGGCAUUUCCAUAGCCAUUCCGAGAUAAAUUGCCAUGCAACUUUCCACCAUUCCAUUUAUUAUGACACACUUCAUCAUUGUCAUAUUGCUCUUUGCAUGAUCAUGUAGUUGACAUCGUAUUUGUGGCAAGGCCACCUUCAUAAUUUUCAUACAUGUCGCUCUUGAUUCAUUGCAUAUCCCGGUACACCGCCGGAGGCAUUCAUAUAGAGUCAUAUCUUGUUCUAGCUUUGAGAUGUAAAUCCAUAAAAGUGUGAUGAUCUUCAUUAUUAGAGCAUUGUCUCGGUGAGGAAAGGAUGAUGAAGACUAUGAUUCCCCCACAAGUCGGAAUGAGACUUCAGACUUUAAAAAGAAAAAACAGAAAAAAAAGAGAAAGGCCAAAAAAGGGCCAAAGAAAAAAAAGGAAAAAAAAAGAAAAGAAAUAAAAUAAAAUGAGAGAAUAAGAGAGAAGGGACAAUACUACUAUCUCUUUUGCCACACUUGUGCUUCAAAGUAGCACCAUGAUCUUCAUGAUAGAGAGUCUCCUAUGUUGUCACUCUCAUAUACUAAGUGGGAAUUUUUCAUUAUAGAACUUGGCUUGUAUAUUCCAAUGAUGGGCUUCCUCAAAAUGCCCUAGGUCUUCGUGAGCAAGCGAGUUGGAUGCACACCCACUUAGUUUCUUUUGUUGAGCUUUCAUAUAUUUAUAGCUGUAGUGCAUCCGUUGCAUGGCAAUCCCUACUCACUCACAUUGAUAUCUAUUGAUGGGCAUCUCCAUAGCCCGUUGAUACGCCUAGUUGAUGUGAGACUAUCUUCUCCCUCUUUUUGUCCUCACAACCACCACCUUAUACCACCUUAGUGCUAUGUCCAUGGCUUGCGCUCAUGUAUUGCGUAAGAGUUGAAAAAAAAGCUGAAGCGCGUUAAAAAGUAUGAAACAAUUGCUCGGCUCGUCAUCGGCGUUGUGCAUGAUGGGAGUAUUUUGUGUAAUGAAAAUGAAGCAUGGCCUAACUAUAUGAUUUUGUAGGGAUAAGCUUUCUUUGGCUAUGCUAUUUUGAUAGGACAUGAUUAUUUGUUAGUAUGCUUUGAAGCAUUAUUAUUUUUAUGUUUUAUAAGCUUUUAUCUUGAAUCAUUUGGAUCUGAACAUUCGUGCCACAAUAAAGAAAAUUACAUUGAGAAUUAUGCUAGGUAGCAUUCCACAUCAAAAAUUCUGUUUUUAUCAUUUACCUACUCGAGGACGAGCAGGAAUUAAGCUUGGGGAUGCUUGAUACGUCUCCAACAUAUCUAUAAUUUUGGAUUGUUCCAUGCUAUUAUAUUACCCCUUUUGGAUGUUUAUGGGCUUUAUUUACACAUUUAUAUCAUUUUUGGGACUAACCUACUAACCGGAGGCCCAGCCCGUAUUGCUAUUUUUUUGCCUAUUUCAGUAUUUCGAAGAAAAGGAAUAUCAAACGGAGUCCAAACGGAAUGAAACCUUCGGGAGCGUGAUUUUUGGAACGAACGUGAUCCAGAGGACUUGGAGUGCAAGUCAAGAAGCAGCCGAGGCGGCCACGAGACAGGAGGGCGCGCCCACCCCCUCUGGGCGCGCCCCCUAUCUCGUGGGCCCCUCGGGCAGCCACCGACGUACUUCUUCCUCCUAUAUAAGCCUACGUACCCCGAAAACAUCCAGGGAGCCAACGAAACACAAUUUCCACCAUCGUAACCUUCUGUAUCCGCAAGAUCCCAUCUUGGAGCCUUCGUCGGCGCUCCGCCGGAGGGGGAAUCGACCACGGAGGGCUUCUACAUCAACACCAUAACCCCUCAGAUGAGUUUUGAGUAGUUUACCACAGACCUUCGGGUCAAUAGUUAUUAGCUAGAUGGCUUCUUCUCUCUUUUUGGAUCUCAAUACAAUGUUCUCCCCCUCUCUUGUGGAGAUCUAUUCGAUGUAAACUCUUUUUGCGGUGUGUUUGUUGAGAUCCGAUGAAUUGUGGAUUUAUGAUCAAGUUUAUCUAUGAGAAAUAUUUGAAUCUCCUCUGAAUUCUUUUAUGUAUGAUUGAGUUAUCUUUGCAAGUCUCUUCGAAUUAUCAGUUUGGUUUGGCCUACUAGAUUGAUCUUUCUUGCCAUGGGAGAAGUGCUUAGCUUUGGAUUCAAUCUUGCGGUAUCCUUACCCAGUGACAGAAAGGGUUGCAAGGCACGUAUUGUAUUGUUGCCAUCGAGGAUAAAAAGAUGGGUUUAUAUCAUAUUGCAUGAGUUUAUCCCUCUACAUCAUGUCAUCUUGCUUAAGGCAUUACUCUGUUCAUAUGAACUUAAUACUCUAGAUGCAGGCAGGAGUCGGUCGAUGUGUGGAGUAAUAGUAGUAGAUGCAGGCAGGAGUCGGUCUACUUGUUGCGGACGUGAUGCCUAUAUACAUGAUCAUGCCUAGAUAAUCUCAUAACUAUUCGCUUUUCUAUCAAUUGCCCGACAGUAAUUUGUUCACCCACAGUAAUACUUAUGCUAUCUCGAGAGAAUCCUCUAGUGAAACAUACGGCCCCCGGGUCUAUCUUUUAUCAUAUAAGUUUUCAAUCUACUUUUAUUUGCAUCUUUACUGUUUGCAUCUAUCUUAUAAAAUACCAAAAAUAUAUUUAUCUUAUCAUACUAUCUCUAUCAGAUCUCACUUUCACAAGUGGACGUGAAGGGAUUGACAACCCCUUUAUUGCGUUGGUUGCGAGUUCUUUGUUUGUUUGUGUAGGUGCGUGGGACUUUUGAGGAGCCUCCUACUGGAUUGAUACCUUGGUUCUCAAAAACUGAGGGCAAUACUUAUGCUACUAUUGUUGCAUCACCCUUUCCUCUUCAAGGAAAACCAACGCAAGCUCAAGACGUAGCACUAAUGCAGCAUGCGACGGAUCGGCUUCCGAUCAGGUGCUUAUAGAGCCCCUAGUGCGGUCUUCCGAACACUAGGGCUGCGCCCAUGUUUCUUUUGUCAAACUCCUAUGGCUAAGUGAGAGUGAUAAAGCCUUAUAGUCCGAUUGCCUGGUUCGUUGCAUUGAACAAAGACUGGGGUAAAGAUUGCUCAGGUUUAUCCCGAACACCCCCGUACUUCCUACGUGGUGGCAGAAGCCGACGAUUGGCCAACUCUCAGGUUUAAUAUAUAAAACGGCCGCACAGGAGGUAAAAUUCUCAAAUAACAGGCAUUAUAUCAUUUAAAUGACCUUGUUCAACACUACAUGGGAUAGCACAAUUGUAUUCAUGGGAAUAUAAUAUCCUUGCCACAUUGCUCCGCUACAAGGCGAGACCCUUUCAGGACACUAUCAUAAUAUAACUCGGGCUUGCGGUGCUCCUUCCCCACAGGCGGUCCUUCGGUCAUCAGCUUUUCGGCAUCCAUCUUCACCCAGUGCACCUUUGCACGGGCGAAGGCCAUUCACGCACCUUCCAUACAGACCGACCACUUGAUGACUUCAAGUCGAGGGUAGGCACUUACAAGCCGCUUCACGAGCCCGAAGUAGCUGCUGGGAAUCGCCUCAGCGGGCCAUAGCCGGAUAAUUAAAUCCUUCAUGGCUAGUUCGGCCGCCCUAUGUAGUUCGAUCAGCUGCUUCAGUUGAUCGGCAAAGGGCACUGGAUACUCUCGCGCCAGAUACUGCGACCAGAAGAGCUUCUCCGUAGUGCUCCUUUCUUCGCUCGGUAGAAUUGUGCGGCAUCAGAUAUGCUGCGCGGCAGUUCCGCAAACACCCCUGGAGAAAUCCGAAUUCAAAAUAGUAACGUGAUUUCCUCCCUUCAAAUAUUUGCUUUGCAUAGAAAAAGCCUUACCCACCGCGCUCUCCCCCGCCUCCUAGAUUUCCUACAGGGCGCCUUGGGCUUCACCCCGGGCAUCGCGGGUGGCUUGACGAGCCUUGGUGAGUUCAGAUUCUUUCUCCGUUAAGCUCUGCUCCAAGGUCUCGCAUUUCUUCAAGGCCUCUUGGAGCUCUUGCUCAGCUUCAAUAACCCUGCCUCGUGCUUUUCACGAAGAGCCUUCUCUGCGGCUGCCUUCUUCUCGGCUUUGGCCACUGCCUUCUUAAGAGCCUCGACUUCGGCCGUCGCCCCUAGAGCACAUCAGGAAAAAAAUUCAUCAUACUCAAUUAUUCAUUCGCGUUGAAUGCGAACAAGGUUUUUGCAUACCUUGGUUAUCCUCCAACUUCUUUUUCACCUGGCCAAGUUCAUCGUCGACCCACUCUAGACUCUGCUUCAGUCCGGAGACUUCCGCAGUAUGAGAGGCGGCAGUCGCUACAGAAGCCUGCUUACAAAAAAUAAAUAACAAAAGAGGGAGAGGUGCCACAAGGUAAGUCUCCUGUGAACAUAUAUUUGAUCCUCUGUCCUGUUCUUUCUUUCGAACACCGAACAGUGUAUCAGGGGCUACUACCUAUACUAUAACAUUCUCUAAAACCUCACAACAUACCUCAAAGCCCGUUAUAAGGCUGAUGCAGGCUUCAUUCAGCCCGCUUUCAGCGGACUGAGUCUUCUCAAUCACCGCACCCAUAAGGGCAUGGUGUUCUUCAACGAUGGAGGCGCUCUUCAGCGCUGCUGAUGAGGUAUCCGGCACCUCUGGUUGGGCUUAGGUUGCCAGUGGAACCUUUUCUCCCGUGUGUAUGGCCGCCGAGGUUUGACCCCCUAGCGCCGCCUUGACGGUCUUUUCACCCCCUCCUCAAACUGGGUCCCUCUGGGACGAUGCCUCGGUGUCGUUCACGUGUUUUGGGGAGGGGGCCUUCGAGGGUGUCCCGCCUCCAUAGCAUCAGAACCCAGUAAAUCCUCCAAUGAAGAUCGUUCGGCAUGGGACCUGGCCGGACUGCAAAAAAGGCGUAACUCGAGGCGUUAAACACUAUAUGCUAGUGAGUCUGGAUACAUAAACGUGUCCGGAUUUUAUAUACUCAUGAUUUCACCAGGGGCUGGACCCCAGGAUCCCACUCCGGGCUACUGUCGGUGGUGGUGGUGGAUCAUUUCGGAAAGGGAGUUUUCCCUUUCUUGGGUGACUCAGCCUCCAAGUGUGUGGAGGCCAUCCUUUUCUUUCUUCCACUCGCUGGGGGGGAUCGGCUUUCCUCCUCUUCCUCGUCCUCUUUGGAGGAAGAGCGGGCCUCAGAGUCUUCGGAUACUGUGUCUAAAGUUCCUCGGUGACGACGGCCGCCCCUUGUCUCUUUAACCUCUUUCUCGGUUUUCUUCUUUGGCGCCUUGUAAGGCGCCGGGACCAGCAUCUUCGUCAAAACUGGGCCAGCUGGUUCUUCUGGCAGCGGGGCUGGGAAGUAUAUCUGCCCUACCUUCUUCCUCCAGCCCUAGGAGAGUUGUGGAAAAAUACAUUGAGCGUUUCCCUUGGAUUACACAGAUAAAGCAUGUGACUUGCCAACAUACGGAGACUUACCGAACUCGCAGGUCGGGACAGUUGACACCCGCGGUCCUUGGCUGAGACCGGCCACGAUUUGCCGGACUUGAAGAGCACUUUCCAAAUGUCUUCGUGAGAUGAGUUGAAGAACCCUAGUAGGGUCUGGUGCUUGGACGAGUCGUAUUCCCAUAAAUUGCAAGCCAUGUGUUGGCAAGGGAGAAUCCGGUGAACUAACAUCACCUGCACUACAUUGACAAGUUUGAUAUUCUUGUCUUUCAUACCCUUGAUACGCGUCUGGAGCACCGACAAUUCAUUGGGCGAAGACCAGUUCAGGCCCUUCUUGGGCCAGGACGUAAGCCGCAGUGGAGCUCCGGAUCGGAAUUCGGGAGCUGCGGCCCAUUUUGUGCCGUGUGGCUCAGUGACAUAGAACCACUGUUGUUGCCACCCUUUGACGGAAUCAUUGAAGGUACCUGAUGGCCAUGUGAUGUUGGGCAUCUUGCUCACCAUGGCUCCUCCGCACUAAGUGUCCUUGCCGCUCACUACCUUGGGAUUCACAUUGAAAAUCUUCAGCCAUAAGCCGAAGUGUGGCGAGAUGCGGAGAAAGGCCUCGCACAUGACGAUGAAUGUCGAGAUGUUGAGGACGGAAUUGGGGGAUAGAUCAUGAAAAUCAAUCCCAUAGUAAUACAUAAUGCCGCGAACGAAUGGGUGGAGGGGAAACCCUAGCCCGCGGACAAAUGAGGGAGGAAUAAAACCCUCUCGUGGGGUUCCGGGGUAGGGACAAUAUGUCCCGCCGUCGGAAGGCGGUGGCUAAUCUUCUUGGCCAGAUACACGGCCUCCCGAAGUUUCUAGAUAUCCUUCUCCCAGAUGGUAGAGGCCAUCCACUUGCCUCCAGCUCCAGAUCUAGACAUUUUCAGAGGGCCUUUGUGGGAGGACAAGGUGAAUGCUUGGGCGCUGGAGCUCGAGCGAGAGAGAAUGGAUGAGCAGAGGAAGAAGAAGGUGUGGGUGAAAAAGGGGAGUCCUUAUCUCCUUAUAAAGGCAGCAGGGAUCCUGCGCCUCCCCACUUGCCCUAGGAACUCGCUUAUCCCCCAAGCGCCGUGAUUAAUGGCGCGGUUGGGUUACCCACACCUGUAUUGAUGAGAAUCCCGUGAUAAGGGGACACGAUCUCUUCUUCGACAAGACGUGCCAAUAAAACCGCCUCGCAAGAUGUGCAGUAGCAGGAUGAGAAAACGGUUUGAAUAAUGACCGGGCCGCAGCGUGAUGUCAUGCUAUGGGAAAGUUAUCGACAAAUUAGACUUGUGGAAUAUUGUGCUCUCUACGGUGGUAUGUGGAAUUUGUUUUGCAGAGCCGGACACGAUUCUUGUGUUCAAGAUCUUCCUUGGAGUAUUCGGAGAAGGAACCCGCCUUGCAAUGCUGAAGACCAUCUGCGCCGGACUCAUCGUCAUUGAAGCCUGGUUCAGGGGCUACUGAGGAGUCCAGGAUUAGGGGGUCCUCGGACAGCCGGACUAUAUGCUUAUGCCGGACUGUUGGACUAUGAAGAUACAAGAUUGAAGACUUCGUCUCAUGUCCGGGUGGGACUCUCCUUUGCGUGGAAGGCAAGCUUGGUAAUUCGGAUAUGUAGAUUUCCUUCUCUGUAACCGACUCUGUGUAACCCUAGCCCCCUCCGGUGUCUAUAUAAACCGGAGGGUUUAGUCCGUAGGACAAGGACAAUCAGAAUCAUAGGCUAGCUUCUAGGGUUUAGCCUCUACGAUCUCGUGGUAGGUCAACUCUUGUAAUACUCAUAUCAUCAAGAUCAAUCAAACAGGAAGUAGGGUAUUACCUCCACAGGGAGGACCCGAACCUGGGUAAACAUUAUGUCCCCCGCCUCCUGUUACCAUUAGCCUUAGAUGCACAGUUCGGGAUCCCCUACCCGAGAUCCGCCGGUUUUGACACCGACAGUCGGGGCUGAGCGAUGCACGAAGGUUUGCACGUUUCACUCAUACACGUACGCGCGUGUGUGUGAGGCGUUGCGCUCUAACUGAACCAGAGCGAGGCGUUCGCCUACUGAACACGAGCGAUUGCACUAGCUAUGUUACUAAACCUUGAUCGAUCCCUUGCCAUUAACUGAACCCGAUCGAGCGAUUCCUUCACUACUGCUGCUAACUGAACUCGAUCGAACCAACUGCUUCUUGAUGACAGUGAGCGUUGUUUGGGGUUGGAUGAACAGUUCCCGGUGGGGGUUGGAUGAAUAGGACCCUAUGGGGGUGUAGAGGCCGUUGCCGCUAGAUGAAUAGGACCCUGAUCAAGCCGGUUGGGGGUGGAUGAAUAGGACCUCGUGGAGGGCUGGUUGAACAAUAGCCGGUGGAGGGCUAGAUGAACAGUAUCCCAUGGAGGGGUGAUUGAAUAGUAGCCGGUGUAGGCUAGAUGAACAGGAGCCCGUGGAUGAACAGUAGCUGGUGGAGGCCGGAGGGAGACACCAUGGAUGAAUAGUCGCAGGUGGAGACUAGAGGAGGUCGACGGUGGAUGAAUAGUAGCCCGUGGGGGCUGGAGCGAGGGAGUAGACGGUGGAUGAACAGUAGCCCAUGGAGUCCCGUUUUGCGGUAUGCCACACCCCUCCCGAUGAACAGGACCCCCGUUUCAACCGUAGGAGGUCGAAGAGAAGUCUGUUUCCUCAGUUUUGUGGUACACCACACCCCUCCCGAUCAACAGCACCCCGUUACAACUGUAGGAGCUUGAACACAAGUCUGUUUCCUUCGUUUUGUGGUAUGCCAGACCCUUACCGAUGAACAGGACCCCGUUUCGAUCGUACAUGGUCGAACACAAGGUCGUUUUCCUCUGUUUUGCGGUACGCCAGACCCUGUUGUGGUCGUUCCGUCCAAGCUAGUUGGCUCCCAUUGAACACGACCCAUUCCGACCCAGUCUGUUGCCUCUUGAUGAAUAGGACGCAUUCCAACCCAGUCACUUAGCUCCCGGCGAACACGACCUUGUUUCCUCCAUUCCGCCCCAGCCGGUUAGCUGAAGAUGAACAUGACAACAUCGCAACCGUCCGUUGCCUCUCCAUGUACAUGAGCCUUGGCUGCGAGUAUGCAUUUCGAGACCCUGCUCAUAUGUACGUACAUGGCCGUAUUUUUUGGCGUGUGGCUGUAUGUAUGUGUACAUGGUUUAGAUAGGAUAGGCUGAACUGCUAUGUGGGGGCUCUACUAUGACAUGUGCCGCUACUUACUCAGCCACAGUUCAUCGUUGCAGAGCGACUGAUCGACUAGUAUGUGUGUACACAUUCACGACAAGAUAGACAAUGCUAUGUAUGCUUCGACCGGGUGGGACCCAGCUGUCAGGGAGGAUAAGGACACACUUCCUUGCGUGCGAAGAUAUAGCUACUGGCUCCCAGCUGUCAAAGGGGAAUAAUUUUUUUUUGCCCGUAAUAAGGACGCACUUCCUUGCGUGCGAAGAUGUAGCUAGUGGGUCCCAUCUGUCAGGGGGAGAAAACAUUAUUCUCAAGGUAAAAGGAUGCAGUUGCAUGCAUGCGUCCAUGGGCGUGGUGCAUCCCCACUAUCGACCUCUCACGUACAAUCAUCGUCCAAUGAUUCUCGUUAGUUGACCACAUUGAACACACCGUACCGAGCGCACCAAGGCCGAUGGACGACGGUGAGGCCCCAGACGGGAAUGACACGGAGAUGGGGAAGACAUGGCAGUGGGUUCGCAGAUGGAGAGGAGUGGGAAACUUGACUAGUUCGGGUGCGCGGUAGCACUACCGCCCACGGGAGACAGGAGCAAGAACAGAGGUUGAAGAAGUAGCACGGCCGGCCACGGGAGGCGGCAGUAGGCGGUACCACCGGCGGUGGUUUGGGCUUAAGCAUGAAUAUCCAAGAUUUUUUUUGACUAUUUACUGUGAAGCAAUAACUCCACAGUCUUUUAUUCAAAAAUAAAUAAAGAGAUGUCCAUAUAAAUACAAACUAACAAGGAGAUGGGUUGGGAGAAAAAGAACUUACCUACUUACCUAUUAGCCUAAUUACAACAAUCUAAGGUAGGUUGUUAACCCAGGAUAAGAAAACAGGUUUAACACUCUCCCUCACCCUAUGAUACAACAGGGAGAUAUCAUGUACAAAUUUACCACUCCACACUCCAAACGAAGCCCUCUCAGAUCUGAAGAUUUUUCCAUUCCUGGUGGUCCAGAUGCACCAGGCCGCCAUGAGCAUCACCUCAAAGAAGAAAGGGUGUUGAAAAUUCUUCUUGGCAUGCAGAAGGCAUAAAGUCAAGUCUUGACCUCGUGUCCAAUCAAUCUGCAGAUAAGACCAGACCCUUUGACUGAAAUUGCAGUUGAUGAAGAGAUGAAACCUAUCCUCAUGCAGGCGUGUGGGACAAAGAACACAAAAGUUGUCAUCUUGGUCAGUCCUCCAAUGUGUCCUGAGAAGAAGGUCCCGUGUGUUGAGGCGAUCAAAAAAGAGCAACCAAUCAAAAACCUUAAUUUUCAUCGUGCAUGAACUUCGCCAAAGCCAAACACACGGUGAAAUUGUUGGGAGGUGGGAGUGCAUGAUGGUGUAGAAGCUCUUAGCACAGUAACCAGACUUGGAUGGCCAAGACCACACAUCAGGAAUAGUGGAAUAUCCGAGAUUGAAGAAGCACCAUAGCCGUUAGAUGGACAUCCAAUGGCCACUGUUAAUAGAAUCAUGUGUUCACUAUAAGUUUUUUUUUGAGGGAUGUGUGUUGACUAUAAAUUGACAAAGCUUGCGUACGUGUCAACUUAGUAGGCCCACAAGUGACCAUCACAUCUGUGGCAGAGAACAUAUAGCCCAUUUGUGAUUUGUAUUUUAAAUUAUAUUAGAAUUUACUCAGCCCAUUUACUGUUUGUUAAAAUUACAACCUAUUUUCUAGCCAGGACUUUGUUAAUAGUUUUAGCCAACCGCUAAAAAAAACUCAACAAAAUUUCCAACAUUUUGAUGGGAUCCGAAAUAUUUUUAACCCAAAAUUUAGAGUCAUAUUAAAUAAAAUUCUAAAUAAAUUUGUAUUAGGUAAAUAUCCAAUGAAAUUUUGCACGCGCAACAGGUAAUGAAAUUAAAAAGUUUACCUUUUUUGAGAAGAACAACAAAAUGUACCUGUUCAGUGCAUUUUUUAUAUUUACAACCAAUUUUUUAAUUACAGCCCAUUUAUUAUUUCAUAAAGCCCAUUUUCUUGGCAAGUCUAAUGCGGCCCGGAGAAUAACAAGUUGACCUGGGUUGGGUAUUCCACAAAAAAAUAGUUGGGCUAGCCAUUUUCACAUUUAAAUAUUAAUAUCUGGGCUGGAUAUUUGGUCGACAUAAAAUAAUAGCCUAGGACAGAUGGGCCACAACCUGCCCAGUUGAUACCCUGCUCCUCUGAACAACAACAAAAACAUCGCUCAAGAAAAACUCUGCUCACACCUCAAAAACACAAAUACUGCUCGAGCUGUCGGGUCCCAGCUGUCGGCCGCUCAUUGUGCAAUGCUCUUGUUUAUUGACUAUAUAGGUUGACAAUGGUAUGGGACCGUGAUGUCAGAAAACUAGGAGGAAGCAAAAAUUUUACAGUUGUAUAUACUAAUAAGGAGGCACUUGCGUACGUGCGGCUAUGGCCCUGGUGGGAUCCACUGUCAGCCUCUCCAAUUAAAGUCAUCUCCUGAUUUCUCUUGUUCAUUGACCAUGUUGACAAUGCGAGACGGCGGCGUCACGGCGAGCGGAACAACUCGAAGGACGACGGAGAGGACCUAGCGGGCCCUACAGAUGGUCUGAUACAGCACCUGCUGCUCAUUCAGGAAGCCAGGAUCAUAGGGACAUAUGUCCGCGACGGCAUUGUCGUUUGCUUGUUUGACGGCGAUUCGUCCUUCCGCAAGUUGGUGCUCUUUGAGGAGAUGAAGGUUGCAGCAUAGGUCCACCUGUGCUGGUAGCUCUUCCUCCUUUAGGGCAUCGAAGUGCGGCUGCACCUGCUCUAUGGUGAACACAACAUGAACCGUCUUGGGCGGUGCCAUCGGCUCCUAGUCGGAAGCCACGUCCAUUGUCUGAUUAUCAUCACUCAGCUCGGCGAGCUCGCUCGCGAGCCAGCAUGUCCGACUGCUGGAUGCCUGGACCGCUGCCAAGCGCGAGUAUGACCACCCUGGCCCACCCAGACCGCCUCCCUCACCCGCGUGCGCUUUCCGCCAGAAAUGGUCAGCGCCACCAGUGUCGCUUCCCGGUGCAGGCGAUUGCUCCGCAUUCAAAUGACACAAGUGUCGUUCGUCCGUCGUCUGCCGCCCACAUUAAUGACACACGGUUGCCGAGGUGGCUACUCUAGCGCCAACCAUCCGUCCAUCUACCGCCCACCAUUGCUAUAUAAACUGCUGCGCGGGCCAUAGCUGCAGUCAUCUGCCUCCAUUUCGUUUCUCCUGUCCACACCACUACUGCCCACCAUAGCUUCCUCGCGCUCCAGCACUCCUCGGGACGGGUGGAUGAUGGACUAGAAGGAGAUGGCAGCCAUUGCUGCCGACUGGCUGGCCGGCAGGCAGCCGGAGGACGAUGACGUCCUAAUGGAGAAUGUGGUAGUCGAUGAUCCGGCGCCAACCCCCUCCUCCGCGACAUCCUCGCUGGUGCAUUGCACCAUGACCAUCGGCGUGGCCCGUGCCCAAUACAUGGACACGGUGAGGCAGAAGCAUGAGGAGAAGUUCCGGGAGGCGCAGGCCGACGCUGCCUACAACCACCAUCUCCUCCAGGAGCAUCUGCAGGCGAAGAUCAGAUCGCCGUGGAGUGGGCGGAGCAAGAGGCACUGCUCGAGUCGUACCGCUCUGCCUGCGAGAGCGACCUCAGGCACUGGCGGUAGCGCAUGCAGGUGGAGGAGGUUGUGGCCACCUACAAAGAGCACGAUGAAGCGGGCGAGGUGUUGUUUGGCGAAACGAACGAAGAGGCGGAGGACAAUGCGGCUCCGCCGAGGCCCCGCCCCACCAGCACCGAGGCGGACGACUUCACCGGCUUCGGGAGGCCCUACUCCGCCGAGACUCCAUCCCUCCAACAAUGAGGUAGAGGACAUCGCCGUCUCCGCCGAGUCCCCGCCCUGCUGCACCGACGCAGAGGACUUCGCCAGCUUCGGCAAGGCCCUGCUCCGCCAAGGCCCUGCCCCGCCAAGAACGAGGCAGAGGACAUCACCGGCUCCGGCGAGGCCCGCCCUGCCGGCAACGAGGGGGAGGAUUUCCCCCACUCCGCCGAGGCGCCGCCCCACCGGCAACGAGAUAAAGGACAUCGCUGGCUCCGUGAGGCCCCGCCCCGCUGCCAACGAGGUCAUGCCACAUAGAAAAUGAGGAAGAGUAGAACAUGGUAGGUCGCGGCCGCUCGGGUCCAAGUAAGGCCACCGCUGCUACCCUCCGGUUGAAGCCAAGUUGGGCGGGUUGAGCAUUGACGGCCGAUUAACUUCUUGGUGGCAACAUGGAGUCGGAGAGGUGUGCUGGAAAAUAAGGUUAGCUCGGCUCAGCCGGCCGGACAUGGGAAAUGGGCGCCGAAGAUCAUAGAUUAGGUUAAUUAAUUAUACCUCUAGCGCACCCCUUUUUAGUUGAAGAAUGUAUGAAAUGUAAUGAAAUCCGACAUGUUUAUAUUUAAUCCGGCCGUGUAUGAAUGAAUUUAGUUUGAUUAGUUCGAAUUCUUGUAUCACUGGCAUUUGAUGAACAUGCAAAACAAUACGUACUAGCGUUAUUACUUGGGUGAUCACCUCAUUUGCAGCAGUUUCACACGUACUCCCUCUAGUCAUUUUUAGUCUCCAUAUAAGUUUUCUAUAAAGUCAAAGUAUCUCUACUUUUACCAAUCUUAUAGAAAAAAGUACCAAUGUUCACGAUGUAAAAUCAACUUGAAACAAAUCUAAUAUGAAAAGUAAAAGGGAACAGAUUGAGUACAAAAAGUGUGAGCUGCUUUUUAGCGUUCCUGUACAUUGCAAUCAAACACACAUGCCUGGCAAUUCAUAGAGCAUUCAAAACAAUUGAUGAUCAUGCAUCUCAGUGGUUCACAUGUCAGAGCCAAUAUUUACUUUACAACUAAAGAAUAAAGAAAAAUCGAUCGAUGUUGCUGACAGCAAAGGGCGUCCCAUUCAAAAAUAUCAAACGCAUGUCUUCUUGCUAACAUCAAUGAGCAAAAUUUGACAAGGUUUUCGCAUUCCAAAAUGUCAAAUGCGUGUUGUCUUGUGUACAUCAAUGACCAAACUUUGACAAGGUUUUCCCAUUCCAAAAUAUCAAAUGCCUACGAUUGUGGAAUGGGCAUGGUUUGCCAUCAGUUCGGACAUUGACAUGGCACCUCGUGCUAAAUAAACCAGCUGUUCUUUUUGUGCAGUUCCACCAAAAUCAACCAAAUUUGCAUGUAGCUUGUAUGAUUUUGCCUUUACAUGUUGCAACGCUUUGAACAUAUCGGCACCUCCUUUCUUGUGGUGGAAAUGAAUGAUUCAAGAAUAUUUGAUGUAUUUGUGAACAUUUUGUGCAGUUCCCAUUGAAAUCAAGCUGAGCACCCCUGUUUGCAUAAAUACAAAAAAGUGAUUAGUAUAAAGCAAACUGUACUAUGAAUUGACAGUUUAAAUAGGCAACCUACAUGAUCCAUGCAGAGCACACAUUUAAAAAAAUGAACUCACCGGAAGGAAUCCUAAAACAACAUUGUAUUGGCAUGGAGAUCCGUGAAUGCUUCUGAGCUGAAGUUAGUUUGUCCUUGUGGGCAAUAAAACCACCCUUCAACUGCUCCCUUAUGAUAAGAACAGAGGCUUGGCUUCUGUAUCCUGGUAUAAUUGGAACUACACACUUCACGUUCUCCAUAUUCUUCUUCAGAGGUGGAUGAUCAUUUGUGCAAUGCUCAAAAAAAUGGAAAGGAAUUAUUUAAGACAACACAGAUGAAGCACUUCAUGACAGUAGCUAAAUUGUAGCACAACACCAAUAGAGAUGACAAAGCUGAAUUAUAUGGAUGAAAUCCGUGGGCCGGUACCAUCCUUUGUCAAGAGGCUUUUUGUGUAGAGCAUACAGAUGAAGCACUUCUCCGAACCAUCUGUUGUUAUCUACUGUAGUUGCCAUGCUUACUAUAUACUCCUCGAUUAGUUUAAUGUUUCCAACAUCUUCUUGUGCAGUUCAACUAAAAUAAAUGUGAUCUUCUAAGAAGAUCCCUGUUUGCACAAGUAGAUAUAAUUACGUAUUACAUUAAGAGUGGCAUCAAAUCAGUGGCAAAACAAUUGCUCGUUCCAGCCAUAGCAAUAAAUUAAGAUGAAAAACUAGAUCAUUACUUGUGUCAUCAUAGUUCUAGUGCUUCAUUAUAGCACCAAGAGUUGAUUUUUGUUUUUCUUCAGAUCGUUCUUCCCCUUCAUCACUUGGUUCAAUAAUAGACAAGCUUCGCCUUCAACAUAAGAUUUGGCAUGUUAAUUAGGGAGCACAAGUAUAGUACUAAACAACGACAUUAAUUUUCUGAUGACAGUAGCAAAAUACAGGCCAACGGUUGUGAAAUAUCAUUAUCUUACCUCAAUGGGAUAUUACGGUGCGUAGACAAAUUUGAAGUCUUGUCUCCAUUUGUGAAGUUCACUAAAAUCAAGCAACAUUACCAUAUAAGUAGCACAACAUAUGAAAGCACACUGCACAAUCAUGUUAAAGAAGGCUAGUACUGACCUCUGAUAACACGGAAUUCAAACAACUCACAAGAAGAAGAUCUUAAACAAAUUCGCCAACAAGGAUAGGAAGUCAAAUCUCCUCUUGUGCAGUUCCACUAAGAUCAAGCAAUCAAGCAACAUUGUUGGUGUGACAUUUUGUUUGAACUGCACAAAACACUCCUAAAACAAAAGGGCUUUGUGAAGUGCAACAAAACGUUGCAAUAGCAAUGAGGUGAACUAGAUAACCCUGUUUACACAGAGGUGUAAAGGAAACAAGUACUGGUCAAUAACGGUGGAUGACAUAGAAGCCCACAAAAAGAAGCAUCUAACUUAUCUAAAAGGGAAAGAAAGCAAGACAAUAGCAUUUCUCAAAUAGUGGACCUGAUUCAUAUUAACAGAGAGAUUAUAUUAACAAUAAAAUUCAUUAAACAUGUAUUUUCUUUUAACUAUGACAUUGCUUCAAUUUUCCAGCGACAUUAUUAGAGGGUGUUUGUUUACAGGCACUUUUUGGUGUACGGACUAAAAUAGUCCCUUUUAGUCCCAUCUAAACCAAACAGGAGGGACUUGCAGGGACUAAAAGUGGGCAUUUGGGUCUAAAGAAAUAAGACCCCGAGGGAGAGUCUUCUUGGGACUUUUUCCAACAGUAGCCCCUGCCCUACAUCGCACCUUAUCUCUGUUAGUUCAUUACUAGGGGUAACAUGGUCUUUUAGCAUGUCAUUUAAUAACCUCUAGUCCAUGUUUAGUCCCUGGAACCAAACAUGUAGGGACUAGGGACUUUUUAGUUGGGACUAAAAAAAGUCCUAGGACUUUUUAAACAAACAGGGCCUUAGAUUAACAACAACUAAAGAGUUGUAUGAGAUAGUGGAUGCACCAGCACCAUGUGCAUCUACCGAUGUAUAAAGGGGUGAUGCACAGUCUGUUGCAACAAAGAACAAACAACCAAGUAGCAUAUUUGUGUUGUCCCAGUUUUGUCAUCUUUAGACACCUUUCCUUGUGUGAGGGCAGCAAAUCUAGUCCUGCUCAAACUCUACAACAUUGUCCCCCAAAUCAAAAAGAUCAGUUCGUUACAGAUGUGCAUACUGUGUUUGUUAUUGUUUUCCCUUUUCGACCAACGUAGGUGCUGGAUAGCCAGUCUGUACUACUUUUCCUCCUUCCUUUCCUCUUUGAACCACAUCCUAGAUUCAUGUUGCACAACUUUCCCCACUACUUUCCUGUUUGAUCCAACACCUAGAUUCGAGUGCAGAAGCGAAAAAAGCCCACACGCAGCUUGAGCAAUGCAUGUGGAAUAAGUAAAUUGUACCUUAAGGUUCUCGGGGUGUGGCUCAGUGGGCGGCCGGAGGCCGAUCUGUCCACACUAUGUGCGGCAGCGAGGAAGAAGGGGUUGGAGGCCCUCCUGCAUCGCUGCUGGGUGAAAGAGAACAGCUGCACUGGUAGUGGAUUCCCCGCCCUCGCUGACGGUGACAGCGUUAAGCCUCCUUCCCUUCCCGGCGGAUGGAUCCUGCUGGCUCUUUGACCAACAGUGAGGGGGGAGAGAGAGGGAGACAGCGAGGCUAACAAAGUAUUGUUUAGAUCUGUAGAGGGUGGGAGAGUGUGAAGAGAGAAACUACAUGCACUGAGGCUCCACCGUGUAUUUAUAUAGUGGAAAGAGAGUGUGAAGAGAGCAAAUCCUCGAAAACAAAUGCCGAGGCUGCAGCGUAUAGAGAUGGAGUGGUUUUCUUUUUCUCUCCAUAAAAAUCAUUUAAAAUUCUGCACGGAACGGAACUCUUUAUUUAACGUAGUGAAGAAAAAUACUUGGGGCAAUGCUAAUACAUGAAGAAAAUUUAAUGCUCAAAGGAGUCAACUCGCAAUUAACGCUGCACGCCUCCCGGUCGCGCUUACUAACGUUCACCUGUGGUACACGACCCUCCGAACUGGUGAAUAACAAUUGAACCACACACGGUCAAAACAUCGAAAAGGUGGGCUACACCAUCCUCAAAUUUUAAAUAUUUUGAGUUUCAAAAAAAAUUAAAUAUUUUGGGCACUUUAUUCGGCCUAAGUCGGUGUGCCAUCAUAUGUACUAAGGGUUACAACGGGUGCUAAGAAACUAGGGCGCAUCGAGAGUAAUUGGCAUGCCAUUUAUUUGUAGGGUCACUUGCAAACUGUGAAACUGUGAAACUCUAUUAACCUCUUAUUUAGUGGAUAAGGCAAAUAUUUUGCCUCCAUUUCAGAAAAAACCAAGAAAUUCAAUUUUAAUUAUUUGGUUUGUACACUUUGCUCUCUUCCAAUAAUUUUUGGCACUUGUAUUCCACCUAAGUCAGUGUGCCACCGUAUCUCGUACUACUCCCUCCGUCUACGUGUAAGUCACAUUAGAAGGUGUAGCGGGACCAAGGUGCAAGCAGAUUGGAGGAGAAGGAGAAACUUGACCGGUCCUUCCUCCAAUCAAAGCCCUGAUUUCUGUCUCUAAACGUCACAACAUAGGUAUAAUUUGAUAGAAAUUAAUCACCCCUAGGUCAUCAAUUUGACAAACCUAAUACAAGUCAUAUAUUACAAAAAAAUAUACCAAUAUUCUAUUUUCAAACGGUAUAAUUUUUGUGUUAUAUAGUUUAUAUUAGGAUGAUAAAAUUGGCAACCUACGCAUAGGCAUAGGAUUUGUAAACUGAAACGGAGGGAGUGCCAUGCAGGGCCACAUAUUAACUCACAUGCAAACCGACAUUGAUUCCUUGACUGAUCAACGCGUAGUUGCACUCCAUGCAUAGGGUUUCCGGGGGAGAUAACAAGGCAGAGCAAGUACUAAUAACACUUGCUAGCAACGAGGCUAGGAGGGGAUUGAGAUGGGAAUUUAAUGGACGACGCCUAAACAUUUUGGGAAUAUCUGAUUUUCUUAAGAUGGCUUAACUCCUAGACGGAGGGACUACUACUCUACUCCUCAGUCCAGGUUGGAUGGAAUAUUCAUCACCUCUUCUCUUCUUUUACGUGCUCCAUUUAUCUCACUUCCUAUGGCUUCCCACUCGCACGAUAUUCCUAUUCUAUGAACCUGUGCAUGCGCGUGCGCAUGUGUGUGUGUGUGUGUGUGUGUGUGUUUUAACAGCGUGUGUGUUAGAGAGAGCGACACAUCGACCUACUCCUACAGAGAGAUGGUGUGUAGUGUAUGAUUUAGCCGCAAGAGUCGAUGCAUCCUCUCAUUUCUGGGUGUCCGGUCGGGACAGCUGCCAUGCCCGCACCUGACCAGCCUGGCCCACCCAAAGCCCCUCCAUCGCCCGCACACGCUUCCCGUCCAAAAUGGUCAGCGCCGCUCCAUAGAAUCGGUACCGCAUUCACGCACGGGCAGAGCGGAUGCGACCUUUCACUGGCGCCUGCGUAGAAGAAAGCGGAUUCAAGAGUGAUGGUUGCAUCGUCCGUCCAACUUACUGCUGGGUCUAUGUGAUUUGACGGCUCAUUGGUCAUUAUUACUGAGGUGGUACGACUGCUGGAUGUCCCACAUUUCGGCGAAAGGAGGUAGAUUACAAUUUUCUCCAUUCUUAUAGCAGAGGAGCGUGAAAGCAGUGAAAACACGCAAGCUCAGUGAUUAUAUGGCCCACCUCACACUGUCACCAUAUUUUCUGGACACCGUGCGACACCUAACUCUUUACAUAGUAGUAUAGUACGUAUUGUACUUUCUCAGUGCGAUAAAUUUGUAGAAUGCUAUGAAGCUUCCAGCUUCUGUUUCAUGUAUCUUGCGUCCAAGGUUGCCCCGUUGCAACAUUUCAUCAAAUACAAAGGAGACUAACAUGCAUGCUAUUGCAUCUCAAUGCUUGAGAGAUCAUAGCCAAUAUGUACUCCCUCCGUUCCAAACUUUAGUACAAAGUUGUAUUACUACAAAGUUGACACUUAUUUUCGAACAGAGACAACUAAAGAAAAAAACGAUCAUGCAGUCCCUAGACCUUGAACCCUAAACCCUAACCAAGCUUUAAUUUGCUGGCGACGUUGAACCUUCUGAAGAAAUGAAGUUUGCAACCCUUUGACCAUCGGAUUAUUUUGUGCAGUUUCACUAAAAUCGAGAUGAGCAUCCCUGUGGCAAAGAAAUUGAAGAGGCAUGAUUAGAAUAAGAUUACUGGGGCUAGUUGAUGAGACAUAAACUCAUGACAAAUACAGUGGAAGCCAGUAGAGGUACGUGCGGGGCAAAGAAGUAGAGAAAUAUCCACAUGGACAGAUGUGUGCAGCUGGGGCAGUGGUGCAAGCCGGAUAUAAAGGAAGUUGUACCUGAGGGAUGUUGGGACGUACCUCAACCUAGAGGAGGGCGGCGGGAGGCGGCAACUACCCACGUCGCGGCAGUGAGCAAGGGACGAAGGCAACCACACCGGCUUUGUGAGAGAGAACAGCGAGGACCCCUGAACGGGACAUGCCGACAGUGGGUUUUUGCCGUCGGCGACGGUGACCGCAUCUACACAAAGCAUCCACCCCUUCCCCCGGAAGACGUGAUCCGCCCAGAUGUUAGAGAUGUGUCCACAGUCAUUUUGUGUGAGAGAGUGUGAAGAGAGAAACCCCAGCAAGCAACCGUGUAGGCUCGUCCUGGCUAUGUAUAUAGUGGAGCGGUUUCUUUUUCUCUCCGACACCGUUCAUGUGUGGUUCCCGACCCUCCAUUAUUUAUAAGUGAGUAAAUACUACUAGACGCGUCAAAUUAUCAUGUGGUUUGCAUCAUCAUACAGAAAUGAGCUCCACCGUGUCACGUGUCUGGUUGAGGAAGACGCAAAAAGUGCUACGGAGUACUAGUACUACAUGCGUGGGUGCAUGCACCUCUUCUCUUCGAGCAUGGUUAUUAAAAGUAUAGCCCUCUACUCUACCAUGCGGUUAUUAUAUGGGCAAAGAGUAUAGGAAGUAAUAAUGACUAAUAAGCCAUCAAAUCAUGAGGCCCACCUUUCUUUAUGUUUGACCGAGGAAGCAGCCAUCAUUUCACUCCUCGUUGAAUAUAUAUCCGCUGCUACCUCCGCACAUAAAUAAAAAUCCGCUUCUACCUCUGCAGCAUGGUUAAUAAUAUAGCAUGUCAAUCACGACGUGGAAGUAUCAUUCACUGAUGCAAUAGGGCUGGCUCUAAGGCUGGUGAUUUUUUUUACUUUGUCUCUUUCUCUUUCUGUCUCAUUUACUCAUUUUACAUAGUAGCAUGAGGACGGCUAUUCCUUUCCAUGGGAUUUAAGACUAAGAAGCUCCGAAUUGUUCCUACUGCCCACCACUCUGAAUCGUGCCAUCUAUGAUAGUACUCCCAUUGCAACAAUCAGGUCCACUAGGUCUAGCAUGUCCUGUUAGAAGAGACUGUCAUGCAAAACAUACAUCUUCUUGCCUUCUUGAUGCGGAGCAUCCUUCGGUCAUCCCCAUGGACCUUCCAUCGUCUUACCAAGCACCAAGAGGACCCAUGACUAGAGCACGAGCUAGAGCUCUCGAGACCGAGGUGACUUCUCUCCUUAGUGAUAUCUCAUAUGAUCCUCUCGAGACAUGGCUACUACCUCAAUCCAGAAUGUUGUGCAUGAUUAGGUACCAAGAGGACCCUCCCGAGGAUGCACAUGAAGAUGGUCAAGAUCCCAAGUCCAUGGAAGAAUAGAACCAACGGAAGAAGGCAAGAAUAGCCUCCAGGCACCGGACAUCCGGCCAGGAUCCCGUACAUCCGGCCCCUGGAGAUCUACACGGCCAGCCCCCUGCAGAAGAAACUACAGCGACCGGACAUCCGGCGUCCAUCCCGGAGAUCCGGCCCCCACCGGAAAUCCGGCCAAAAUCCCGGACAUCCGGCACCAGCGUCCAGGGAGCACAGAAGCUUGCCCCGUCAGCCCGGACAUCCGGCGAUCGCCCCAGACAUCCGGCGCCCCCCGGAGCCGCAGACAUCCGGCCCCUCCGAGCGGACAUCCGGCGUCGCCCAUCUAGAGAGCAGAACAACCAUCUGCGCCAUCUCGGACAAUCGGCUCCUCAGCCAGGACAUUUGGCGCCUCGCGAGCCACCGGACAUCCGGCCCGACGCCCGGACGUCCGGCCUUCCCAGCGGCUGCGGGCGCAUGUUGGACUGAGUCCAUGUACCCCUUCGCCCCUAGCCUAUAUAUAGGACUCCUCCUCCUCACUUUGAUACUUAGCAUUGUGAUAGCUCAUUUAGAGAUAGAGCUCUGCUCAUCCGUACCGAAUCUACUCCACGUGAGGGAUCGUGCCUCUUCAGAGAAGAUCCAUUCGGAUUCAACGCCUCCAUCCGGAGAAGACAAUCAAGACCUCCUCAUGGAGAAGAACGGUUCCCUAUGUAGCCUUCCUUUGUUGAUUUUGGAUCUUGUGCAACCUUAUGCUUUCGGUGAUCUAGCCCUUGUGUGAUCGAUUACUUGUCGGUUUAGUGAUUCUCUCGUUUCUCCCCGUGUUUUCCCUUGUGUUUCCCGUGCGUUCUUCAUGUUCCCCCAUAGGAUCCACUCCAAACGUGAAAGAUCAGCCCCCUAGGGUUCCGCCCUACAUCAUCUUGGUAUCAUGAGCCACGUUGAUCACAUUUUUGGAGCCCCUACCCCGUGUUUUCUAUCUUGAUUUUGUUGUUUUCGUCCUAAAUCCGAAAAUCCCCACCAAAAAUAGCCCCAAUUUUUUUUUCUGAUUUGUAGGUGUGAUGAAGUUUUGUUGGAUUUGAUCCAUGGAUCUGCUUUGCAUCGAGUUGAUCUAGCUUUUCCCCAUCUCUACCGCGAUUUCCAUCCACCAAUUCAUCCGAAUUUUGCCCCGGAGUUGCAAUUUUUCCCGUGGAGUUCAUCGUGUUCGUCCCCCAUCCAGAGCCCGGACAUCCGCCCCGUGUCCACCAGACAUCCGUCCCCUGGGAGCAGCAACUCCAUCCCCCGUGCCCAUUUCCGCCUACUUUCGCCAAAUUUUGCCCCGGUGCCCACGCUUACUUCCGCAUACCCCCAACGCUUUCCACAAACACCACCACCGCUCACCGCUACGUCCUAUGUCGAUUUUGACACGUUUUGGUCUUUGAGAUUUUGGGUUGUGGUUCCCGUGUCCUAUUGUGUUUCGGCUAUAUAGGUACGGUUCGACGUCACCAUCACCACCGCUCAUCUCCAUCGACUACUCAUCAUCGCCAAGGACGGUAACCUCGACGACAUCUUUGUCAUACCUUGCAAUUGCAUUGAUACCCCACAUGGCCUUACUUUUGCGUAGCUUACCCAUCGAGACUAGCCAUUGAGUAUUUCCGGCAAGGUGACUUGUCCACAUUAGUGAUCAUACUCCAUAGCAUACAUACCAUACCAAAGUGGUGCAUAUCUUGGCAUCAACUUGUGUGUCACAAAGUUGUCAUAGCAUACACAAUUGCUAUCUUGGUUUGUGAAGUUUUGCAUGAGAAAAGAGCUCAAAAGUGAAAGAGCCACCCAAGCUUUUAAGCAAAGAGGAAAGAUAAGCAAAGAGCUUAUAAGCAAGAACCAUAGCAUCAUACUACAUUAAGAUUGUCAUAUAAGAUCAUCUUGGAUCAUAGCACCGAAAUACCAUACAUAUAGCAUACUUGGGAUAGAGAUCGUUGCAUUUUUGCCUAGUAGGUUGUGCACAAGCUCUGUAUCCGCCUAUAGUGCAAUCGUGCUAGCGUCUCUCUAGUAUUGUGCAACAAGAGCAUUUUCGUGGAUUCCACAUUUUGGCUCACUUUUGGUUUGAACAAUUCCACUUAUCUAUUUGCAUGUGUGUUUCCGUGUACCACUACUUGCUUGAUCUACUUGUUGCAUUUGCAAAUUUGUGAAUCUUUUCCAACAUUAUUGAAUCUCACUUUCAAUUGCAUCAAAUUUUGUGCCACCAUCCUAACCAAGCUCCACCAUAAGCUCUUACUUGUGUAGGUGUGAGAACCGACAAGAAUUGGUACCAAUAGUGCUAUUUCAUUGUCCGCAUUUGAGUGAACUUGAUUCAUCAUCAACAUCAGUCAAGGUACAUUGCUAUAAGUUCUUCUCCUUCUACCACUCACAUUUUGCUUGGAAUGAUAGAUAGGCCGAGUACUUAUACCAACCCACUCUUCAUCGAGCAAGAUGACGACAUGUCAUCAUACGUCACCAAGAGCCACCUCUUUGGUGCACAACGAGCAUUGCAUCAAGAGCAACAAGCAAUGAACGACCGCAUCGACAACCUCGCCACCGACUUACGACUCUCUGAGCAACGUAUAAGAGAAUACUUCGACAACAAGCUCGACGCGCACAAGCAAGAGAACGAUGCAAGAAUGGACGAGAUCUGCGCCUUGUUGGUGAACCGGCCUCCUUCUACAUCGUCAUACUCAAGACGGAGCCACUCAAGUCGACACUCUGACGACUCCUUCUCCGGCUCAAGUACACCGUCAUUGAACACUCUUCGACGAGCCACGCGUCAAGACCGUCAUGCAUCUCGCAACCCGCUACACGACAAGCAUUCACAAGAGCAAGCCGAUGAGCAAGUCCCUCGUCCUCAAUCAAACCAAGUCGCUUUUGCUCAAGCUCAAGAACGACAACAUCUUCGUCGCCAAGAAGAAGAAGAACGAGCGCGUCUACACCAAGAGCAACAAGACGCCGAGGCUCAAUGUCUUCAACAACAACAACGAGAAGCGCAAGAUCUUGAGGCGCAAUGUGCCAUUCAAGAGGAAGCCCUUCGAGAAGAAAUGCAAGAGCGGAACUGCCAAUCGCGAGUGCAACAUCAAGCUCCACAAGCUCCUUCACAAGCUCGUCAAGCUCCACCUCAACCUCAAUCUCAACAAGAGCAAGUUGAUCAUGGACUUCCUCCAUGCCAAGAGCAACAUGAGGAUGAUUACCCUCACCGUCAAGGGCGUCAUCAUCACCAUCGCCAACAACACAAUGAAGAGCAACGCUAUGGCAAGCUCAAAUUCACAAUGCCCAAGUUCAAUGGAAGCAAUGAUCCCGAAGAAUACCUCUCAUGGGCAUUGAAGGUUGACAAAAUCUUUUGUUUGCACAACUAUGAAGAAGAGAAGAAGACCGCUAUGGCAUCACUUGAGUUCCAAGACUAUGUGCUCAUAUGGUGGGAACAAGUCCUUGAUCGCCGACAAGCAAGAGGUGAACCUCCAAUCACCACUUGGGCUCAAAUGAAGGACGUCAUGCGAGCACGUUUUGUGGACACAUACUACAACCGCGAUCUCUUCAAGAAGCUAUAACUACUCAAGCAAGGAACAAAGAGUGUUGAAGAAUACUACAAGGAAAUGGAGAUAGCCAUGAUUCGAGCUAAUGUCACGGAAGAUGAUGAGCAAACAAUGGCACAAUUCUUGAAUGGACUCAAUCAUCCCAUCAAGAAGAUCGCCGACUUCCAACCCUACUCCAACUUCAUUGAGCUCGUACAUCAAGCUACAAAGGCAGAACGUAAGUGCAAGAUGACUUCAAGUAGCUAAGUACUCAUCCAAGACCUACGGCUUCUCCAACAUCCAAGCUUCAACAACUCCUCCAACAUCUACAUUAACCAAAUCUUCUCCAAGCAACGACGACAAGUCAAGUUACAAGAAAACUUCGGCAUGUUCAAGUCAUCUUCCUACUACUACAAGCAACUUCAAGCUGUGUGCUUCUUCAUCUACUCCGACCGAUGAGACCGUCAAAACAAGCUCCUUCAAGUGUUUCACUUGCGGCGGCCGAGGGCACAAGUCCUAUGAAUGCACCAACAAGCGCACCAUGAUCCUCAACGAUGAUGGCACAUAUGACUCCAUGAGUGAUGAGGAGAUGGAAGCUCUUGAGCAAGUGGCCAUGCACCGGCACGUGAAUGAGGAUGAAGAUGAUCAAGUCUUUUGUGAUGAGGAUUCGAGCCCCGCUCUUGUUGUCUCCAAGGUCUUGACUCUUCAACAUCAACAAGAAGAAGACCAAAGAUGCCACAUCUUCCACACUAAGGCUGGCAUCAAUGGACGAUUCGUCAAGGUCAUCAUCGAUGGAGGUAGUUCCACAACUUGGCAAGUGAAGAACUAUGCUCCAAGCUUCAAUUGGUAAAUAGGAAGCACCCGCACCCCUACAAGGUUCAAUGGCUAAGUGACUCCGGCACUAUACGAGUUGAGCAUACGGUCCAAGUCUCCUUCAAAAUUGGUGCAUAUGAAGACACUUUGGAGUGUGAUGUGGUCCCCAUGACCGUUUGCCACCUCCUUCUUGGUAGGCCAUGGCAAUUCAACUGUGGUGUCAUCCACAAUGGGCGCACCAAUCACUAUAGCUUCAAGAUGAAAUGGAAGGAAUAUGUGCUAUGACCUAUGUCUCCUAGUCAAGUGAUAGCCGACAAGCAAGCCACCCAUCAUGGAGAGAAGAGUGAGAAAGUGAUCCACCCAAAAGUGAGUGAGAACCACAAACCAAACUUGAGCGCCUCUUUGCCUAGAGAGAAAAACUUAGUCCUAUUUACCACAAAAAGUGAGAUGAGAGAAGUGUGUGAGAACCCAUCGAGUGUUAUGCACUUUGUCCUUGUGUGCAAGGAUGGAGAACUAAAAACUAACACCUCCCACGAGCUACCUUUAGUGUUUCAAUCUCUUUUGCAGGAAUUCCAAGAUGUUUUCCUUGAUGAGCUACCUCCGGGUCUACCUCCUCUACGAGGCAUUGAGCAUCGAAUCGACCUCAUCCCCAGAGCGCCCGUACCAAACAAAGCUCCAUACCCUGUCAAUCCUGAAGAAACUAAGGAGAUCCAACGGCAAGUACAACAACUAAUCGACAACGGUCAUUUACGUGAAAGCCUAAGCCCUUGUGCCGUCCCGGUUAUACUUGUGCCUAAGCCCGAUGGAAGUUUUCGCUUGUGUUCUGAUUGUAGACCUAUAAAUGCUAUUAUCGUUCGCUAUAGGCAUCCCAUUCCUCGCUUAGAUGAUGUGCUUGAUGAACUUAGUAUCGUGGUUCUAAGUCUGACAGUAGAAAGGGGGUAGGUAUGGAGAGGCAAGAUCUUAGCUAUGGCAAAGAUGUACACACAAGGUUUUACGAGUUCAGGCCCUUCUCGGAGGAAGUAACAACCCUACGUCUCGGUGCCCGGAGGCGGUCGAUUGAAUUAUGUGUGUUGUGUUACAGGGGGUGUGAACCCUUGUCCCAGAGGAGGGGCUGGCUUAUAUAGAGUGCGCCAGGACCCCAGCCCACCUCCAUUACAAGGAGCUUAAUGUACAUAAAGUAAGGGCGUUACUGGUAACGGCAGUCUUAAAUACUCUUAAUGCUCAUGAAGACUAAGGAGUGAAUGCCCGGCCGUUGUGCGUUCUUCCGACUCCUGGUCUUCGAUAUAGCCGAGUCAUUUCCCAUACGGUCGAGUGAAUGUGGGGAAUGACGGUCGAGUGAUUAUACCGUCGAGUGGAUUCUUGGUCUUCUUAUCUUCUCUGAUCUUCUGGGGUAGUGACCUUGGGUGGGACGUAUAGGUCAGGCUAUGACCCUACCCCAGGUUUGUACCCUCAUCAGUAGCCCCCGAAUGGAUUAAGGUGCGAGUGCAAAAUAGGUUGAAAUUAAACUUGUCCUGAGCUUUGGGAUCUCGCGAGUGCUUUCUGCAAGUCCGAGCGCCCGCGUCGAUGUUUGGUGCUGACUCAGUCGCCUUGAUCCAUUCAGUGGACAAUCGAGUGAACUGUUGAUCUUAUGUGCCGAGUGUCAUGUUGGAGCGCGGGAUUCAUAACCCACAAGUAUAGGGGAUCACAACAGUUUUCAAGGGUAGAGUAUUCAACCCAAAUUUAUUGAUUCGACACAAGGGGAGCCAAAGAAUAUUCUCAAGUAUUGGCAGCUGAGUUGUCAAUUCAACCACAUCUGGAAACUUAGUAUCUGCAGCAAAGUGUUUAGUAGCAAAGUAAUAUGAUAGUGGUGGUAACAGUAACAAAAGUAAAGACAGCAAAAGUAAUGUUUUUGGUAUUUUUGUAGUGAUUGUAACGGUAGCAACGGAAAAAGUAAAUAAGCGAGAACCAGUAUAUGGAAAACUCGUAGGCACUGGAUUAGUGAUGGAUAAUUAUGCCGGAUGUGGUUCGUCAUGUAAUAGUCAUAACAUAGGGUGACACAAAACUAGCUCCAAUUCAUCAAUGUAAUGUAGGCAUGUAUUCCGAAUAUUGUCAUAUGUGCUUAUGGAAAAGAACUUGCAUGACAUAUUUUGUCCUACCCUCCCAUGGCAGCGGGGUCCUAUUGGAAACUAAGGGAUAUUAAGGCCUUCUUUUAAUAGAGAACUGAAACAAAGCAUUAGCACAUAGUGAAUACAUGAACUCCUCAAACUAUGGUCAUCACCGGGAGUGGUCUCGCUUAUUGUCACUUCGGGGUUGCCGGAUCAUAACACAUAGUAGGUGACUAUAGACUUGCAAGAUAGGAUCAAGAACUCACAUAUAUUCAUGAAACAUAAUAGGUUCAGAUCUGAAAUCAUGGCACUCGGGCCCUAGUGACAAGCAUUAAGCAUAGCAAAGUCAUAGCAACAUCAAUCUCAGAACAUAGUGGAUACUAGGGAUCAAACCCUAACAAAACUAACUCGAUGACAUGAUAAAUCUCAUCCAACCCAUCACCGUCCAGCAAGCCUACGAUGGAAUUACUCACGCAGGGCGGUGAGCAUCAUGAAAUUGGUGAUGGAGGAUGGUUGAUCAUGACGACGGCGACGAAUCCCCCUCUACGGAGCCCCGAACGGACUCCAGAUCAGCCCUCCCGAGAGAGAUUAUGGCUUGGCGGCGGCUCCGUAUCGUAAAACGCGAUGAUUUCUUCUCUCCGAUUUUUUCUCCCCGAAAGCCAAUAUAUGGAGUUGGAGUUGGCGUCGGAGGGUCUCCAUGGGGCCCACGAGGUAGGGGGCGCGCCCAGGAGGGGGGGGGCGCGCCCCCCACCCUCGUGGAUAGGGUAUGGGCCCCCUGGUCUUCAUCUUUGGCAAGGAUUUUUUAUUAUUUUUUACAAGACAUGCCGUGGAGUUUCAGGUCAUUCCGAGAACUUUUGUUUUCUGCACAUAAAACAACAUCAUGGCAGUUCUGCUGAAAACAGCGUCAGUCCGGGUUAGUUCCAUUCAAAUCAUAGAAGUUAGAGUCCAAAACAAGGGCAAAAGUGUUUGGAAAAGUAGAUACGACGGAGACGUAUCAACUCCCCCAAGCUUAAACCCUUGCUUGUCGUCAAGCAAUUCAGUUGACAAACUGAAAGAGAAAAAGAAAAACUUUUACAAACUUUGUUUGCUCUUGUUGUUGUACCUAUGUCAAGCCAGCAUUCAGGUUUUCAGCAAAGAUUAUAACUAACCACAUUUGCAAUAAUUCUUAGGUCUCAUGUUUACUCAUAUCAAUAACAUAAUCAUCUGGCAAGCCAUAAUAAUGAAUCUCGGAUGACAACACUUUCUCAAAAUAAUCAUAAUAUGAUAUAACAAGAUGGUAUCUCGCUAGCCCUUUCUGAGACCGCAAAACAUAAAUGCAGAGCGCCUUCAAAGAUCAAGGACUGGCUAGACAUUGUAAUUCAUGGUAAAAGAGAUCCAAUCAUAGUAAUACCCGAUAUAAAUUAAUAGUAAUGAAUGCAAAUGACAACUGUGCUCUCCAGCUAGUGCUUUUAAUAAGAGGGUGAUGACUCAACAUAAAAGUAAAUAGAUAGGCCCUUCGCAGAGGGAAGCAGGGAUUUGUAGAGGUGCCAGAGCUCGGUUUUGAAAUAGAGAUAAAUUAUAUUUUGAGAGGCAUACUUUCAUUGUCAACAUAACAACUAAGAGAUGACGAUAUCUUCCAUGCUAAACAAAUUAUAGGCGGUUCCCAAACAGAAUGGUAAAGUUUAUACUCCCCCUCCUCCACAAGCAUCAAUCCAUGGCUUGCUCGAAACAACAAGUGCCUCCAACAUUCAACGGGUCCCAGGGGGAGUUUUCUUUGCAAUUAUUUUGAUUUAGUUUGCAUAAAGCAUGGGACUGGGCAUCUCGGUGACCAGCCAUUUUCUCGUGAAUGAGGAGCGGAGUCCACUCCUCUUGAGAAUAACCCGCCUAACACGGAAGAUAAGGGCAGCCCUAGUUGAUAUAUGAGCUAUUUGAGCAUGCAAAACAGAAUGUUUAUUUGAAGGUUUAGAGUUUGGCACAUACAAAUUUACCUAAAAUGGCAGGUAGAUACCGCAUAUAGGAAGGUAUAAUGGACUCAUAUGGAAUAACUUUGGGGUUUAAGGGAUUGGAUGCACAAGCAGUAUUCCCGCUUAGUACAAGUGAAGGCUAGCAAAAGACUGGGAAGCGACCAACUAGAGAGAGACAACAGUCAUGAACAUGCAUUAAAAUUAAUAAACAUUGAAUACAAGCAUGAGUAGGAUAUAAUCCACCAUGAACAUAAAUAUCGUGAAGGCUAUGUUGAUUUGUUCCAACUACAUGCGUGAACAUGUGCCAAGUCAAGUCACUUAAAUCAUUCAAAGGAGGAUACCACCCCAUCAUACCACAUCACAACCAUUUUAAUAGCAUGUUGGCACGCAAGGUAAACCAUUAUAACUCGUAGCUAAUCAAGCAUGGCACGAGCAACUAUGAUCUCUAAUUGUCAUUGCAAACAUGUUUAUUCAUAAUAAGCUGAAUCAAGAACGAUGAACUCAUCAUAUUUACAAAAACAAGAGAGGUCGGGUUCAUACCAGCUUUUCUCAUCUCAGUCAGUCCAUCAUAUAUCAUCAUGAUUGCCUUUCACUUGCACGACCGAAUGAUGUGAAUAAUAAUAAGAGUGCACGUGCAUUGGACUAAGCUAGAAUCUGCGAGCAUUCAAUAAACAGGAGAAGACAAGGCAAUAUGGGCUCUUGGUUAAAUUAACAAUGAUGCAUAUAAGAGCCACUUCAACAAUUUAAUCAUGGUCUUCUCCUACUGACCCCCAAAGAAAAGAAAAGAAAUAAAAACUAUUUACACAGGAAAGCUCCCAACAAGCAAAAGAAGAACGGGAAAUAUUUUUGGGUUUUCUUUUUAAUUACUACAGCAAAGAAAUAAACUACUACUAACAAAUUUUUUUUAUUUUUUCUUAAGGUUUAUUAAACACACAAGAAGAAAGCAGGAAAAAGAAAAUAAACUAGCAUGGAUAUUACAGUGAAAGAGUAUGAGCACCGACAUCUAGCAAUGAGUGUGUGUGAACAUGAAUGUAAUGUCGGUGGGAAAUACGUACUCCCCCAAGCUUAGGCUUUUGGCCUAAGUUGGUCUAUUGCCAGGGAUAGCCUGGCGGAUACCCGUAGGUGAAGCUGGGGUCAUACUGCAAUGAAGAAGACUCUGACUGCCACUGGCUGGCAACCACCUCUGGAUCCCAAGAAUAAACAGACUGUCGUGGAGGCUCAUCUUGUGGCUCCGGUUCCGGGGCUGGUGUAGGAUUCCGAUAGGCUUGAAUGGCCACCCACGGAACGGUAUGAGGACCUGCAGAUAAGUUAAACAAAGAGGGAGCAGGCAAAGUAAUAGUCUCAGGGUGAUGUUUAUCAAAGUAUAAUUUAUAUUUGAGAUCCCCUUCACGAUUCUUAACAAGAAAGUCAUGCGCUAGCAUACUCUUAUAAUCUAAAUAAGCACGGGGCAACGAUGUUUCUUCUUUCUCCUCAUGCCUAAUAGGUAUUUCAAAAUAUUCAGCUAGGUGUGAAGCAUAAAUGUCUCCAAAUAUGGGGCCCUUAGUACGGUUCAGACUUAACCAUCUAGCAACAAUUCCACCCAUACUAACAGAGUUAUUGCGGUAUAAACCAUGGAACAAAAUAAUAAUAUCAGGAACACUAAGGUUUCCACAGUUCCCGCGUCCAAUCAAGCAACGACUAGCAAAUAAGGCAAAGUAGCGUAAAACAGGAAAAUGUAUGCUAGUAAUCCUUGCAUCAGAAACCUUCCUGGUUUCUCCCACAGUGAUAGUGUUAAUAAAAGCUUCUACUUCAUUACGGUGUGGUUCAUCCAAGGUGCCCUCAAAGGGUAUUUUGCAAACCUCGCAAAAUUCAGCUAAUGGCAUCUCCUUAACAACGUCAUAUAAAUGAAACUCUACUGAAGGAGGUGAUUUCUUAGGGAAAAAGUAGAAGUUUUGCACAAAAGUAUUUGUGAGUAAGAGAUACUGAUGACGUUGGUCGCGGAGGAAGUCGGUGAGGCCAGCAUUCUCAAUCAAUAAAUAGAAAUCUUCAUAAAUCCCGGCUCUCCUCAAGAAGUCAUCGGAAGGCCAUUCACACGGCUGGACCUCCGCGGUGCGAGGCAAAUUAAAUUUGGGCUUCUGCUCUCCUUCCUUUUGUUUUUCCUUCGAGCUUCGGCUCGACGAGCCCCUCAAAAGUCUCUUCAUUAUUUUCUGAAAUAAUCUGAAAUUUUUAGUAACUUCAAAUAAAAGUGAACCAACUUCAAUAAAAAUUGAUAUCAACAACUCCCACAAGUGCCUAGAGCCUAUAUCAAGCAUUAGAACUACUUGGAAAAAUAUAAAUUUGACAUGCAAGCUCAAGAACAUGGUCACCUAUGCAGCACAAAUUUGCAAUGAAUAAAGCACUAGAAAAAAAACUAAUUGGACCAUGGAGGAGUUACAUACCAAGGAACAAUCUCCCCAAGUAGUUUUGCGAGAGGUGCUUUGAGCAAGGAGAUCAAAAAUCACAGCAACAGGGGCUAGAACUCAUGCUUGAGUUGGUUUUUUUUGUUUAUAUGAGGCAGAGGAAGAAGAUGGGUGCAGGAAUAAGUGGAGGAGGGCCACCAUGGGCCCACGAGGCAAGGGGGCGCGCCCUCCACCCUCGUGGCCAGGUGGCAGCUCCCCCCGUGGUAAUUUUUGCACAGUAAAUCCUCAAAUAUUCCCGAAAAAAUCAUAUUAAAUUGGCAUGGCAUUCUGAGGACUUUUAUUUUUGGGAUAUUUUUAUAUUGCACGGAUAAGUCAGGAAAUAGACAAAAAAUACUAUUUUACUUUAUUUUUACUAAAUAACAGAAAAUAUAAAGAGGGUACAGAAGGUUGUGCUUCUAGUUUCAUCCAUCUCGUGAUCAUCAAAAUGAACCCACUAACAAGGUUGAUCAAGUCUUGUUAACAAACUCAUUCCGAAUAACACGAAACAAGAGAAAUUUCGAAUAACACUAAGUUACCUCAACGGGGAUAUGAAAAUCCCCAACAAUAAGAAUAUCAUACUUUUUCUUGACAGUAGGGAGAGGAAAUUCAAAACCUCCAAAUAUAAUCGAUGGAAUUUUUCCAAUAGAGUUGAUACUAUAAACUUGAGGUUGUUUCCUCGGAAAGUGUACCGUGUGCUCAUUACCAUUAACAUGAAAAGUGGCAUUGCCUUUGUUGCAAUCAAUAACAGCCCCUGCAGUAUUAAGGAAAGGUCUUCCAAGAAUAAUAGACAUACUAUCAUCCUCGGGAAUAUCAAGAAUAACAAAGUUCGUUAAAAUAGCAACGUUCGCAACUACAACAGGCACAUCCUCACAAAUACCGACUGGUAUAGCAGUUGAUUUAUCAGCCAUUUGCAAAGAUAUUUCAGUAGGUGUCAAGUUAUUCAAGUCAAGUCUACGAUAUAAAGAGAGAGGCAUAACACUAACACCGGCUCCAAGAUCACAUAAAGCAGUUUUAACAUAAUUUCUCUUAAUGGAGCAUGGUAUAGUAGGUACUCCUGGAUCUCCAAGUUUCUUUGGUAUUCCACCCUUAAAAGUAUAAUUAGCAAGCAUGGUGGAAAUUUCAGCUUCCGGUAUCAUUCUUUUAUUAGUAAUGAUAUCCUUCAUAUACUUAGCAUAAGGAUUUGUUUUGAGCACAUCAGUUAAUCGCAUACACAAAAAGAUGGGUCUAAUCAUUUCAGCAAAGCGCUCAAAAUCCUCAUCAUCCUUUUUCUUAGAUGGUUUAGGAGGAAAAGGCAUGGGUUUCUGAACCCAUGGUUCCCUUUCUUUACCAUGUUUCCUAGCAACAAAGUCUCUUUUAUCAUAAUGUUGAUUCCUUGAUUGUGGGUUAUCAAGAUCAACAACAGGUUCAACUUCUGCAUCAUUAUCAUUACUAGGUUGAGCAUCAUCAUGAACAUCAUCAUUAAUAUUUUCACUAGGUUCAUGUUCAUUACCAGAUUGUGUUUCAGCAUCAGACAUAGAGAUAUCAUUUGGAUUCUCAGGUGGUUCAGCAAUAGGUUCACUAGAAGUUUGCAAAGUCCUAUCAUUUUUCUUUUUCUUCCUUUUAUAAGAACUAGGUGCAUCAAUAUUAUUUCUCUGAGAAUCUUGCUCGAUUCUCUUAGGGUGGCCUUCAGGAUACAAAGGUUCCUGAGUCAUUCUACCAGUUCUAGUAGCCACUCUAAUAGCAUAAUCAUUUUUCUUACUAUUCAUUUCAUCAAGCACUUCUUUCUGAGCUUUAAGUACUUGUUCUACUUGAGUGGUAACCAUAGAAGCAUGUUUCCUAACAAGUUUAAGUUCACCUCUAAUAUUAGCCAUAAAAUCACCCAAGCGUUUAAUCAUAAAGGUAUUCGGUUUUAAUUGUCUACCAAAAUAAGCAUUAAAGUCAUCUUGCUUUAACAUAAAGUCAUCAAACUCAUCCAAGCACUGACUAGCAAUUUUAGUAGGAGGGACUUCAGCUUUAUCAUAUCUAUAGAGAGAAUUUACCUUUACUACCUAUGUCGGGAUAUCGGGAUCAGGAGGUUCUUCAGUGAAUAAGGAAUUGAGAUCAUAUACUUCUUCAAUAGGCGGUAAAUUAAGACCGUGUAUUUCUUCAAUAGGAGGUAAAUUCUUAACAUCUUCAGCUUUAAUACCUUUUUCUUUCAUAGAUUUCUUUGCCUCUUGCAUAUCUUCGGGACUGAGAAAUAGAACACCUCUCUUUUUCGGAGUUGGUUUAGGAAUAGGCUCGGUAAUUGGCUCUGGAGCUGGCUCGGGAGGUGGCUCGGGAGGUGCCCAAUUAUUUUCAUUUGUCAACAUAUUAUUCAAUAGAAUUUCAGCUUCAUCCAUUGUUCUUUCCCUGAAAAGAGAACAAGCACAACUAUCCAGGUAAUCUCUGGAAGCAUCAGUUAGUCCAUUAUAAAAGAUAUCAAGUAUUUCAGGUUUCUUAAGAGGAUGAUUAGGCAAAGCAUUAAGUAACUUGAGAAGCCUCCCCCAAGCUUGUGGGAGACUCUCUUCUUUAAUUUGCACGAAGUUGUAUAUUUCCCUCAAAGCAGCUUGUUUCUUAUGAGCAGGGAAAUAUUUAGCAGAGAAGUAAUAAAUCAUAUCCUGGGGACUACGCACACAACCAGGAUCAAGAGAAUUAAACCAUAUCUUAGCAUCACCCUUUAAUAAGAACGGAAAUAUUUUGAGUAUAUAAAGGUAGCGCGAUCUCUCAUCAUUAGUAAACAGGGCGGCUAUAUCAUUUAGCUUAGUAAGAUGUGCCACAAUAGUUUCAGAUUCAUAGCCAUAGAAAGGAUCAGAUUCAACCAAAGUAAUUGUAUCUGGAUCAAUAGAAAAUUCAUAAUAAUCCUUAUCGGGAACACAGAUAGGUGAAGUAGCAAAAGCAGGGUCGGGUUUCAUUCUAUCUAUAAGAGAUUCUUUACUCCAUUUAACUAGCAGCCUCUUAAGUUCGUAUCUAUCCUGGCAGGCAAAAUAGCUACAGAAGAUUCCGCAUCAAAAAGAUAACCCUCAGGAAUAGCAGGCAUAUUCUCAUCAUCGUAUUCAGAUUCAAUAAUUUCUCUUUCUCUAGACCUAGAAAUUUGUUCAUCAAGAAAUUUACCAAGGGGCACAGUAGUAUCAAGCAUAGAAGUAGUUUCAUCAUAAGUAUCAUGCAUAGCAGAAGUGGCAUCAUCAAUAGCGUGCGACAUAUCGGAACGAAUAGCAGAAGCAGGUUUAGGUGUCACUAGCUUACUCAUAACAGAAGGUGAAUCAAGUGCAGAGCUAGAUGGCAGUUCCUUACCUCCCCUCGUAGUUGAGGGAUAAAUUGUUGUCUUAGCAUCUUUCAAGUUCUUCAUAGCAUCCAGCAGAUAUAAAUCCCAAAUGACUCAAAGAAUAGAGCUAUGCUCCCCGGCAACUGCGCCAUAAAAAGGUCUUGAUAACCCACAAGUAUAGGGGAUCGCAACAGUUUUCGAGGGUAGAGUAUUCAACCCAAAUUUAUUGAUUCGACACAAGGGGAGCCAAAGAAUAUUCUCAAGUAUUAGCAGCUGAGUUGUCAAUUCAACCACACCUGGAAACUUAGUAUCCGCAGCAAAGUGUUUAGUAGCAAAGUAAUAUGAUAGUGGUGGUAACAGUAACAAAAGUAAAGACAACAAAAGUAAUGUUUUUGGUAUUUUUGUAGUGAUUGUAACAGUAGCAACGGAAAAGUAAAUAAGCGAGAACCAGUAUAUGGAAAACUCGUAGGCACCGGAUUAGUGAUGGAUAAUUAUGCCGGAUGUGGUUCGUCAUGUAACAGUCAUAACAUAGGGUGACACAGAACUAGCUCCAAUUCAUCAAUGUAAUGUAGGCAUGUAUUCCGAAUAUAGUCAUACGUGCUUAUGGAAAAGAACUUGCAUGACAUCUUUUGUCCUACCCUCCCAUGGCAGCGGGGUCCUAUUGGAAACUAAGGGAUAUUAAGGCCUUCUUUUAAUAGAGAACCGGAACAAAGCAUUAGCACAUAGUGAAUACAUGAACUCCUCAAACUAUGGUCAUCACCGAGAGUGGUCCCGAUUAUUGUCACUUUGGGGUUGCCGGAUCAUAACACAUAGUAGGUGACUAUAGACUUGCAAGAUAGGAUCAAGAACUCACAUAUAUUCAUGAAACCAUAAUAGGUUCAGAUCUGAAAUCAUGGCACUCGGGCCCUAGUGACAAGCAUUAAGCAUAGCAAAGUCAUCGGAACAUCAAUCUCAGAACAUAGUGGAUACUAGGGAUCAAACCCUAACAAAACUAACUCGAUUACAUGAUAAAUCUCAUCCAACCCAUCACCGUCCAGCAAGCCUACGAUGGAAUUACUCACGCAGGACGGUGAGCAUCAUGAAAUUGGUGAUGGAGGAUGGUUGAUCAUGACGACAGCGACGAAUCCCCCUCUCCGGAGCCCCGAAUGGACUCCAGAUCAGCCCUGCUGAGAGAGAUUAGGGCUUGGCGGCGGCUCCGUAUCGUAAAAUGCGAUGAUUUCUUCUCUCCAAUUUUUUCCUCCCUGAAAGCCAAUAUAUGGAGUUGGAGUUGGCGUCGGAGGGUCUCCAGGGGGCCCACGAGGUAAGGGGCGCGCCCAGGAGGGGGGGCGCCCCCCACCCUCGUGGACAGGGUGUGGGCCCGCUGGUCUUUAUCUUUGGCGAGGAUUUUUUAUUAUUUUUUAUAAGACAUCCCGUGGAGUUUCAGGUCAUUCCGAGAACUUUUAUUUUCUGCACAUAAAACAACAUCAUGGCAGUUCUGCUGAAAUAGUGUCAGUCCGGGUUAGUUCCAUUCAAAUCAUACAAGUUAGAGUCCAAAACAAGGGCAAAAGUGUUUGGAGAAGUAGAUACGACGGAGACUUAUCAGGGAUCCUGGGCGCGAUUGCCUGCAGUGUAUCCCGGAUUCCGCAGGAUAUGAAAUUUCAGGGAAGCGCGCCAGACGGGGAGUGCCGAAGCGGGCGGAGCGGAUAAACAGUGAUUCCUUGAUUACAGUGCUGCCUUUUUCGCCACAUACGCUGCACACAACUGUUGCGGGAUUUGACGGGAUUGCCUGGUCCCACGCGUCAGUCACUCGGAAACAAUCUCUUAUAAGGUAGCCGGACCGAGGCGUUUGUACUAUGCACAUCUUCUCUUCCUUCUUCUUUCUCUCCUUCUCCUCCGCACUUUACUCUUCCGCUCCGACGCCGUUGCCCCAUCGCCAUGGUGAAGAACAAGACGGCGGUGCUAGAGCGUGCAAAGAAGACAAAGGAGGUGGCGAAGGGCAAGAAGCAGCAGUGUGGGUCAUUGUCGCACGCGAGGCUGCCGCUGGGCUGGAUCCAGGGCGAUUGGAUCCGGUCUUCAAUUCGGCAGGCGGACCUGGACGAGCUGGCGGAGUCGGGGUUAAUCGCCAAGGGAGCGGCAAGGCUGCUGGAGGGAGAGAUGAGCCCUCAGCCUCAACCGGGUGAGUGCGUUCUACUCACCACCCACGUCGACCGCGGCUUUUCGCUUCCCCCGCACCCUUUCUUCCAGGGGUUUCUGAACUUUUUUGGUGCUCAACUCCACCAUUUCUCCCCCAACACCAUCACGUAUUUAGCUGCUUUCAUGUCGAUGUGUGAGAACUUCUUGGGGUGUCGACCGCACUAUGGUCUUUUCAAGCACAUCUUCACCAUUCGUUCCCAAUCGGUAAAAAAGGCGAAGUCGAGUGACUCGAAAACCCAUGUCAUCCAGAUGUGCGGGGGUUUAGGUAUCUAAAAGAGGAAAGGGGGUGCUUUUCCUGCUAUGACUCUUCCUGAUUCUGUUAGAGGCUGGCAAUCGACUUGGUUCUAUUGCCAGGAUGUCGCGGCUCCAGGUCAGUCGACCGGCCUCCCCCACUUCUCGUUUGACCGAGUCCAGACUCCUGCUCCGCUAAAAGUUACGACUAGCGAGACCAUGGAGACGAGGAUGUUGGUAGAUAGGGUGGUUCACGUUAUCAAUGAUGGUGUUACGGGUCUGGAUCUGUUGGAGGUGUUCCUCAGUCGACGCGUCCAGCCUCUCCAGGCCCGCGAUCACCCAAUGUGGCUGUAUUCCGGACUGGACGACACCGCUCGGGUCCAUCCAGAAGAAGUACCGUCUGCAACACUAGCUUUGUGGCUGAGGAGCAUCACAGGCAAUCAGGACAAUCCCAGAGGAUCUAGGCGAGUCGUUCCCUUUAGCAGCAACAACCCGGCCGACAAGGUACGCUUUUCACUCCGACUGUUUCUCAUUCAUGCUCCGACUGCACUUGAGAUUAACCGACUCUUGUUCGACCAAUUUGUUCUGCAGGUGUUCACUGAGAUGCAUUCGAUGCCCAAUGGCGAGCAGGCUUUGGAGCAGGCCCAGGAGGGGGAGGACAGCACGGAAGAUAGUGACAAGUGGGAUUCUCAGGAAGACAACGAGGAGGAGGAGGAGAGCGAGGAGUCGGAUGAGGAGGAGGAAGUCGACUCGCCGCCACGCUCCGAACGUCGAUCCAAACAGCAGCAUGACCCGGCCGGCGGGCGCGGGAAAGGUGUGGGUCUGAGUGCCAAUACUCAGAAGCGCACUCGGACGUCGACUCCGGAGCCGACGGAGAAGGUGGCCAAGCAGCCUAAAGUUUCUCCCUCCAAGGCCCAGAGGACACUGCCGCGCAUCAAGAUGGACAUCCCCGUUGCCUCAGGGUGGGUAUCUUGUUUGUGUUUCCGUAAGUCGACUGAAGAUUUUCUUGAUCUGACCGACCAAUCUUUGUGUCUUUCUAGCCUCACCUCUGCUGCCACUGACAUGGACAUCGACAAGGCACCAGGAGAUGAAGAGGCCACCUCAUGAGCUGGUAAGUUCGUUCGACCGAGUUCUGUUUAGUCGAGUGGAUGGCCAAUUGACUGAAAACUUGACAUUUCUCUUCUUAUGUAGCUCCACAAGAUAUCGUUGUGCUUCCUAAUGAUGAAGAAGAAGAAGUGCCUCUACAGGAGAGGAGGAAGAAGAGUGGAAGCUCAAGCAGGAACAAGCUUGAAGUCCAGGUCCCUCAGUCGACACCGGCGCCUGAAGCGAUAGUCCGGACCAACAUCACAUUCGCUAACCCGUUGACGACUGAUCGUCCGUCGGGGUCGACUAUGCAGACACCUGCUGCACCGGUGCAGCUCCACUCCUCUGACCCGGCAGCUACUUCGACCCCUCUGGAGUCAUCCCUCUUUGCUACAUAUCAAACUCCAAACGACUCGUCGGGUGCUGCUAGGGAAGCUCUUCGCCAGGCAAACCUUGUCAUGGAGCAGGUGAAGGUGAUGCAUGAAGCCAGUCAGAUAGCUUACAACGCUAGCACUGCUCUUCAGACCAAUGUUCAGGUCAGCAUAAUUCCGACUGAAAUUUUUGAAUGUCGCUUUAUAUCUGAUCACCCACUGGGUGUUCUUUCGUUUAGAACCCAGGAAAUCUUUAGUUCUGCACUUUCCGAAUUAGUGGGGGAACGUCGAGUGCACCCACUGGGUGUAGUCCCCGAGACCACGGUCGGCUGCUGGCAGUCGACCGAGGUCUAAUGAUGUGUUUCUCUUUCUUUCUUUUUUUUGAACUCAUGCUGAGUACUAAUCUGAUCCAGUGGGGGCACGCUAAGUGCACCCACUAGGUGUAGUCCCCGAGACUACUGUUGAAUAUUUGAUUCGGCAGUAGUCUUAGAGUAAUUCUUUGCUUUCACUCGGCGCUUCAAUCUGUCGACUGACAUGUCUGUCUUUCUGGCUGCAGAGGUCUUGUGAUCUUGGAGCUCGGCUCACCGAGUUAAAGAAGCAACAUAUCAGCAUUGAACUUGAGCUCCAACUUGCGAAGAAGAAUCUGAAGACUGCCCAACUAGAAGCGGCCAUCAUGGGAGGUGAUCACUCGAUCAUCCUGUCUGUUUUGUAGCUUCAUACUUCGUGCUAGUUUUUCCUUCAGUCUCUUUGAACCGAGUGAUUUCACACGAGCAGAUGUGCGUAGUGAAAAUCGCCAACUUCAGUCUCAUCUGAAGAGUGUUGUUUCUUUAGAGAGGAUGAAGGAGGCUUUGGAGCAGAAGGAUCUGGAUUUGGCAGCCGCUCAGAAGGAAGCACGCAAGAAGACGAAGCUUGCGGACCAGAAGCUGGCUUUGGUUAGCAAACUAGAGGAGGAGAACGCGAAGCUGAAGGCUUCCAUCUCAGACGCCAAUCAGGAAGUCGAGAAACUUAAGAAGGACAAGGAAAAUCUGACCACUGGAUUUUGCGGCCUUAAGACCAAGACCAACAAGCUACAGUCCUAUCUGGAGCAACUCGCCGCCAAACUUGUUCUGAAGCUUGAAGGUAUGAUCAGUCGACUCAUCACUUUGUUGCCGAUUGAACUUUGUUAUCUCGUCGUCGAUUCAUCACUUUUUGCAAAGGGACAGAACUGUGUCAGUACUUUGAAGAUGAAACUGGGCGGGUCGAGACAGGUCUCGACCCCAUCAACUGUCCCAUGAAAGAUGAAGUUGCGAUGAACUUGCUUCGACUGGAAUCGCGCUUGGACGGUGCAGUCGACUAUCUGGCUUGGCUGAAGGCGGCGAUGGCCCGAGUGGACGCUGAGCUCUGGCCUCGGGAGGAAAUGUCUCAAGACCUCGAGUCCUUGAUAACUCGGCUAAACCAGAUUUCAGGUCGAGUGCAAGAGUGGAAGAAAUCUUCUGCCCGCUGUGGUGCUGAUGUUGCUUUGUCUCUGGUCUGAGUGCAGUGCAAGGAGGCUAUGGAAGACAAGUUGGCAGCUCUUAAAGUGGCAAACACUAAGAAGCACUCCUUCUAGGACUUCAUGGACACUUUCCUCGAGGCAGCCACUCGCACCGCCGACAGCAUCGACCUCGACAGCUUCUACGACCAGGCCAGUCCUUCUCCCGCCGAGAGACAAAAAAACAUUAUGCUAUCACUUUUAUUUGCCUCGGAAUGCCGAGUGAAUUUAUAACCAUUAAAACUCCUUCGGGCCUGAUGCCCGAGCACUUUAUUCUGCGGUUAAGAAACUUUGAAUUUGUCAUCUCAUAAAUUGCGUCUGUCUUCGAACGAAAAUCAUUUUUCCCUCGAAUUGUUGUCUGUUUGCUUGAUGCAGCUUCUGGAGAAGGAUGGCCAGUCGACUGAUCGGGCGGUCCUUAAGCAACCUUGAUCAGCUCAUCAGCGAGGCGUUCAGCAAUGAUCUUGGCGUUCUAGUCGAUUGAUCGGGUGAUCUUCGAGUAGCAUUGAUCAGCUCAUCAGCAAGGCACUCAGCAAUGGUCUUGACAUUCCAGUCGGCCGAUCGGGUGAUCCUUGAGUAGCAUUGAUCAGCUCAUCAGCAAGGCACUCAGCAAUGGUCUUGACGUUCCAGCCGGCCGAUCAGGCGAUCCUUGAGUAGCAUUGAUCAGAUCAUCAGCAAGGCAUUCACCAAUGGUCUUGACGUUCCUGUCAACUGAUAGGAUGAUUCUUGAGAAGCAUUGAUCAGCUCAUCAGCAAGGCACUCAGCAAUGGUCUUGACGCUCCUGUCAACCACCCAGUAAGGUUUUUCAAACUUAGGCAAGCACUGGGUUGUAGCUAAGCCUCCGAGUGAGAGGAUUGCUCACCACCCGAUAGGAUUUUUCAAACUUAGGCGAGUACGGGACUGCAGCUAAGCCCCCGAGUGGGAGGUUUUCUCUCCACUCGACAGGAUUUUUCGAACUUAGGCGAGCGCUGGGCUGCAGCUAAGCCUCCAAGUGGGAGGUUUGCUCUCCACUCGGUAGGAUUUUUCAAACUUAGGCGAGUACGGGACUGCAGCUAAGCCCCCGAGUGGGAGGUUUGCUCUCCACUCGGUAGGAUUUUUAUCACUUAGGUGAGCACUGGGCUGCAGCUAAGCCCCCAAGUGAGAGGCAGACUCAUCACUCGGUAGGAUUUUUAUCACUUAAGUGAGCACUGGGCUACAGCUAAGCCCCCGAGUGAGAGGCAGACUCAUCACUCGGUAGGAUUUUUAUCACUUAGGUAAGCACUGGGCUGCAGCUAAGCCCUCGAGUGAGAGGCGGAUUCAUCACUCGGUAGGAUUUUUAUCACUUAGGCGAGCACUGGACUACAGCUAAGCNNNNNNNNNNNNNNNNNNNNNNNNNNNNNNNNNNNNNNNNNNNNNNNNNNNNNNNNNNNNCACUUAGGCGAGCACUGGGCUGCAGCUAAGCCCCCGAGCGAGAGGCAGACUCAUCACUCGGUAGGAUUUUUAUCACUUAGGCGAGCACUGGGCUGCAGCUAAGCCCCCGAGUGAGAGGCAGACUCAUCACUCGGUAGGAUUUUUAUCACUUAGGCGAGCACUGGGCUGCAGCUAAGCCCCCGAGUGAGAGGCAGACUCAUCACUCGGUAGGAUUUUUAUCACUUCGUCUUAGGCGAAAUAGAUUCGCAGCUAAGGUAACUCGUACAAAAGAAAUAAACAACAAUCAUUCGGAAGAAGUGAAUUAUGUCUUUUGAUAGUCAAACUAAAAGGUAUUUCUUAUUACAUCUCAUCAUUCUAAAUAUUUAAGAAUAGAAAGGGCGGAGCAGAUCCGCAUUCCAGGCGUGUGGCUCAUCUUUAUUAUGUUUGACGUUGAAGAGAUGGUAUGCUCCAUUGUGGAGCACCUUGGUGAUGACGAAAGGGCCUUCCCAAGCAGGAGCAAGCUUGUGAGGUCUUUGCUGGUCCACUCGAAGAACCAGGUCUCCUUCUUGAAAUGCUCGACCCCUCACGUUUCUAGCGUGAAAUCUAUGCAAGUCUUGCUGAUAAAUGGUCGACCAGAUCAAGGCCAUCUCUCUUUCUUCUUCCAAGAGGUCGACUGCAUCUUGCCGAGCUUGUUCUGCUUCUUCUUCUAAGAAGAGUUCGACUCGAGGUGCAUUGUGGAGCAAAUCACUGUGGAGCACGGCUUCAGCUCCAUAGACUAAGAAGAAUGGAGUCCUUCCAGUCGACCGGUUGGGGGUUGUCCUCAACCCCCACAGCACGGAUGGGAGCUCGUCGACCCAGGCUCCUGCUGCAUGUUUCAGGUCACGCAUCAACCGAGGCUUCAAUCCUUUGAGAAUCAAUCCAAUCGCCCGCUCGGCCUGUCCAUUCGACUGAGGAUGAGCGACCGAAGCGUAGUCGACUCUCGUGCCUUGGGAGGCGCAAAAGGCUUUGAAUUCUUCAGAAUCGAAGUUCGAGCCGUUAUCCAUGAUGAUGUUGUGCGGAACACCAUAUCUAAAUAUAAGUUCCCUCAUGAAACUCACAGCUGUGCUUGCUUCAAGGCUUUUGAUGGGCUUGGCUUUGAUACACUUGGUGAACUUGUCAAUUGCUACCAGCACAUCAGUAAAUCCACUCCUGCCUGUCCUCAAAGGUCCAACCUUGUCCAGUCGCCAGACGGCGAAAGGUCAGACGAGCGGAAUUGUUUUUAGAGCCAACGCAGGUUUAUGAGACAUGUUGGAGUAAAAUUGGCAGCCUUCACACUUGUCCACUAUUUCCUUAGCCAUCUCAUUGGCCCGCGGCCAGUAAAAUCCAGCUCGGUAUGCUUUGGCCACAAUGGUCCGAGAGGACGCGUGGUGACCAUAGGUCCCCGAGUGAAUAUCAUUGAGGAUCACUCGACCUUCCUCUGGUGUGAUACACUUCUGGCAAACUCCAGUUGCACUUUCUCUGAACAACUGCCCCUUUAUAACAGUAAAGGCCUUAGAUUGCCGAACGACCUGUCGAGCCUCUUCUUCUUCCUCCGGAAGUUCUUUCCUAAGAAUGUAUGCGAUGUACGGCACUGUCCAGUCGGGAGUGAUGACCAGAACCUCCAUGACUAAGUCGACCAUGGCUGGGAUGUCAACUUAAGUCGGAUCUGUAGCACUCUUGGGCUGUGGCGACUCUAUUGUGAAGGGAUCCUCUUGAACCAAAGGUGAAUGAAUAUGUUCCAGAAACACAUUGCGGGGGAUGGCCUCUCUCUUGGAACCUAUCUUCGCCAACUCAUCUGCAGCUUGAUUUUUCAAUCGGGGCAAAUGGUGGAGUUCAAUCCCCUCAAACUUCUUUUCCAGCUUCCUGACAGCGUUGCAGUAACCAGUCAUGGCUGGACUUCUGACAUCCCAUUCCUUCACCGCGUUAACCACCAAAUCUGAAUCGCCAUACACCAUGAGGCGACGGAUGCCGAGCGAGAUGGCCAUACGCAACCCAUAUAGAAGUGCUUCGUAUUCUGCUUCAUUAUUGGAGGAAUCAAAGUGAAUCUGGAGAACGUAAUUGAGCUUGUCUCCACGGGGGGACACCAAUACUACUCCAGCACCUGACCCGUUUAGCAUCUUGGAACCAUUGAAGAACAUAGUCCAAUGUUCCGAGUGAACUUGAGUCGGUAGUUGCUGUUCAAUCCACUCGGCAAGGAAAUUCGUGAUUGCUUGGGAUUUGAUAGCUUUCUUUGCCUCAAACUUGAUGUCCAGUGGAAGGAGUUCAAUCGCCCAUUUUGCUACUCGACCAGUUGCAUCUCUGUUAUUCAGGAUCUUAGACAACGGUGCGUCGCUGACGACUAUAAUAGAGUGAUCAGAGAAGUAAUGUGCAACCUUCUUCAUGGUCAUGUAAAUUCCAUAGACAAGCUUCUAAUAAUGAGGAUAGUGCUGCUUGGACGGAGUCAAAACUUCAGAGAGAUAAUAAACUGGGCGUUGAACCUUGUACGCUUUUCCUUCUUCUUCUCGCUCGACCGUGAGUACUGUACUGACAACUUGUCCAGUGGCUGCAAUGUAAAGCAGUAAAGGCUCUUUGCUGAUUGGCGUAGCGAGCACCGGCUGGGUGGAAAGUAGGGCUUUGAGCUCUACAAACGCUGCAUCAGCUUCUUCAGACCACUCGAACUUAUCAGAUUUCUUCAUCAAUAGGUAAAGAGGCAAGGCCUUUUCACCGAGACGAGAGAUGAAUCGACUCAAGGCGGCCAAACAACCGGUCAGCUUCUGAACGUCAUGCACUCACACGGGGCGUUUCAUUCGGAGGAUGGUAUCAACUUUUUUUGGAUUGGCGUCGAUCCCUCGUUCAGAAACGAGAAAACCGAGCAGCUUUCCUCCUGGAACUUUGAAUGUGCACUUUGACAGAUUAAGCUUGAUAUCGUACCUUCUUAGGUUGGCAAAGGUUUCUGUGAGAUCAGUCAAUAGGUCGGAACCUUUGCGAGACUUGAUCAUGAUGUCAUCCAUGUAUGCCUCCACAUUCCGACUGAUUUGGGUGAGCAUGCACUUCUGGAUCAUUCUCAUGAACGUGGCUCCGGCAUUUUUAAGACCGAAUGGCAUGGUGACAUAGCAAAAGCACCCGAAUGGGGUGAUGAAGGCUGUUUUUAUUUCAUCGGGACCAUACAGUCGGAUCUGAUGAUACCCGGAAUAGGCAUCCAAAAAAGACAAGCGCUCACACCCCACAGUGAGUCAACAACCUGAUCGAUACGGGGGAGAGGGAAGUGAUCUUUCGGGCAGGCCCGAUUGAUAUGCUUGAAACCAAUGCACAUGCGAAGUGAAUCGUCCUUCUUGGGGACCAUGACAACAUUGGCAAGCCACUCGGAGUGGUAGAUUUCACAGAUGAACUCUGCUGCCAACAGUCGAGCCACUUCUUUGCCGAUUGCUUUUCUCUUCUGAACGGCAGACCGCCGAAGAUGCUCUUUGACGGGUUUUACCUUGGAGUCGACACGCAAAUGGUGCUCAGCCAGUCCUCUGGGUACACCUGGCAUGUCAGAGGGUUUCCAUGCAAAGAUGUCCCAGUUCUCAUGGAGAAACUGGAUGAGCGCUUCUUCCUAUUUGUUGUCAAGCGUUGUUGAUAUAUGAGUCGGUGCAUCAUUGGGAUCGGUCGGGUCAAUAUGAAUCGGCUUCGUUUCACCACUCGACUGAAACGUAGAGUCGGUCGCAGGCUUCUUUGCUUGGAGCAAAUCACUUGGAUCCACACUCUUCUGAUACUCCUGGAAUUCAACCGCCGCCAUCUGUGCAUCGGUGAUUUUGGAACCUUUCUGGAAACAUUCUUCUGCUUUCUGCCGGUUGCCAAUGAUCGUGAUCACACCUUUGGGACCAGGCAUCUUCAGCUUGAGGUAUACAUAACAUGGUCGAGCCAUGAAACGCGCGUACGCCGGUCUCCCCAGGAUGGCGUGAUAAGCACUCUGGAAAUCCACGACUUCAAAUGUCAACUUUUCUUUUCGGUAAUGCUUGGAGUCACCGAAAACCACGUCGAGAGUGAUCUGGCUGAGUGACUCGACCUUCUUUCCGGGAAUAACACCGUGAAAUCUCAUGUUGCUCUCGCUAAGCUUGGACAUCGGGAUGCCCAUCCCCUUCAAGGUUUCAGCAUACCGGAUAUUCAGGCCGCUACCUCCAUCCAUCAGCACUUCAGUCAGUCGAGUGCCACCAACCACUAGGUCGACCACCAGCGCUUGCCUCCCGGGGGUGACUACGCGAGCAGGAUGGUCUGACUGGUCGAAUGUGACGGCUGUCUGAGACCAUUUCAUGUACGUGGUCGUUGUUGCCAGAGCAACCAUAUUCACUUCUCUGUUGAUGACCUUCAACCGACUCUUGCUCUCAACAUCAGCAAAAAUCAUGAGGGUGGAAUUGACCUUGGGGUAACCGUCAUCCUCCUCAUCCUCCUCAUCUCUGUCUGACUCCUUGUCCUUCUCAUUGGGUUGUUUCUCCCGGAACUGUUGCAUCAGGAGUCGACAUUGUCGAGUGGUAUGCUUUGGGUAAAUCAGAUUACCUUCCUCAUCUUUCUUCGUGUGGAUGUGACACGGCAAGUCCAGCACAUCAUUUCCUGCUUGAUCUUUCACCUUCUUAGGAGGCCAGGGCCCCUUAGGUUUUCCCUUAAACUUUCCUUGAGCCACUGCUGCUAUCUCCCCAGGUGUCACUGGCUCGUCUUUACGCUUUUGCUUCCGACUGGAACCACCUCCACUAGCCUCUUGGCCGACUGGUUUACUCUUCCCGCUUCGGAGUCGAUCCUCUUCUUCUCCGUUAGCAUACCGGGUGGCUAUCUCCAUCAUCCGGGUCAGAGUCAUAUCUCCAGUCCGAGCGAACUUCAGAACCAACUCUCGAUACUUGACGCCUUCCUUGAAAGCGCACACCGCCUGAUGUUCCGAUACAUUCUCCAUGGUGUGAUGCAAAGUUGUCCACCUCUGAAUGAAUUCCCUCAAAGUUUCAUUCGGCUUCUGCACACAAUGCUGCAACUCGAGAAGCCCUGCUGGCCGCUUGCACGUGCCCUCAAAGGUUCAUACGAACACUCGAGAUAGCUCUUCCCAGCUGUGUAUACUGUCUGGGGCUAACUGAGUCAACCACGCUUGGGCUGACCCUUCCAACAUUAGAGGGAGAUGCUUCGUUGCUAUUUCAUCAUUUCCGCCCCCAAUCUGCACAGCCACUCAGUAAUCUUCAAGCAAAGUUUCAGGCUUGGACUCCCCGGUGAACUUACUGACUCCUGUUGCCAAUCUGAAGUUGGGAGGAAUCACUGCUUCUCUGAUGGCUCUGCCAAAACACUCUGGGCCGGAAACAUGUAAUCUGCCGCCACUCGGACGAUCUCUGCCCAGAUCUUCUCUGUAUGCUCUAUUCCGGUCGACCAGGCCUUGAAUGAGAAUGGAUCUCACAUCGAAGCCUGGUUCUCUUGGGUCGACUAGAACUCUGCGCUCGUCCCUGUGACGGCGUGUGUCAUCGUUCUGCCAAGGCACGUACGAAGCACUCCUCAGAGGAGGCGUUGGCACUCGACAACGAUUGUCGCAGCCGGACUGACGAUCGUACUGCCCAUGACCUUCACACCGCGGAGGCGAUCUUGGGCUAUGGGCCGAUUGAACUAUAUCUGCCACCACGUAUCUGCUGUGUAUCCUAUUCCGUGACUGAGACACCGCAGAAUUCUGCUCUCUUGCCGCUCGGAGCAAGGCCCUGAUCUGCUCCAACCCUCAGCUAGCCUCUGACUGAGAAGGUUGAAUCGACUCUGCAAUUCGGGCCGCAGCAGUGAGGUUCUGAAUCGGAGUACGGUAUACCUUAGGUGGGGGUGGGAAAAGCUGUUGUCGACUGGAAUCAGGAACUCGAUCCCAGGCUCGCUCGUCGAGAGCGUGCUGCAGGUUCUCCAGUCGAGUGCGCUCAGCCAAGUUAGCCAAGCGCGCCUCCUCCAAGGCCUGAGCCUUGGGAGUUUCCCCAACGAUGGGCGUGUGAAGUGUGUCCAUGUUGCUACGACGAAGAUCCUCUCUCUGCUGCGAAGAGAGAGGUUCGAGACGGUACUCCUCGUGGACACGUGACGGAUCGCCACCAGCUAUAUCGCCAUCCACACGGUGAAAGCCAGGCGGGCUACGCGGACCAUCGACCAUCAGGACUUCAGCCGCAGGAUCGCUGCUAUCGCACUCGGACGACGUCUCCGCGAAGCCAAUCGACAGAUCGAACAGGCCGUGGAGGGUUUCUUUGGGCUCGAUUGCCGCAACUUGAUGAGUGGCCGAACGCCGAGCCACCGCGUGCUUCACCCACCGCUGAAGCCGCGACCGACCAAAUCGCUUGCGGUGGCGCACAGCAGAGAGGGAAGAUGUUGCCGGAGUCGACUGAUACUGGGUCGACGGCUGCCGAAGAAGGACGCCACGAACGCACGCGCGAAAGUGUGUCACCCCUCGUACGGGGAGCGCCUCGACAUCAAGAGGAGCUUCCUGGAGCCACGCUGAGUCGUCGGCGAUGAAAACAAGCGCGCCGAGAUGGAUCUCGCGGCCCACAACCAUCUCGCCGCCGGAAACCAUGAUGAUGAUCGGAAAAUAAACUUGCAACUUCACCAACAAGUCGCUAAGACACCUGCCCCACGGUGGGCGCCAACUAUCGUGGUUCUAAGUCUAACAGUAGAAAGGGGAUAGGUAUGGAGAGGCAAGAUCUUAGCUAUGGCGAAGAUGUACACACAAGGUUUUACGAGUUCAGGCCCUUCUCGGAGGAAGUAACAGCCCUACGUCUCGGUGCCCGGAGGCGGUCGAUUGAAUUAUGUGUGUUGUGUUACACGGGGUGCGAACCCUUGUCCCAGAGGAGGGGGUGGCUUAUAUAGAGUGCAACAGGACCCCAACCCACCUCCAUUACAAGGAGCUUAAUGUACAUAAAGUAAGGGUGUUACUGGUAACGGCAGUCUUAAAUACUCUUAAUGAUCAUGAAGAGUAAGGAGUGAAUGCCCGGCCGUUGUGCGUUCUUCCAACUCCUGGUCUUCGAUAUAGUCGAGUCAUUUCCCAUACGGUCGAGUGAAAGUGGGGAAUGAUGGUCGAGUGAUUAUACUGUCGAGUGGAUUCUUGGUCUUCUUAUCUUCUCUUAUCUUCUGGGGUAGUGACCUUGGGUAGGACGUAUAGGUCAGGCCUAUGACCCUGUUGGAGAACGUUGCAGAAAAUUAAAAAUUUUCCUACGGUUUCACCAAGAUCCAUCUAUGAGUUCAUCUAAUAAACGAGUGAUAGGAGUGCAUCUACAUACCCUUGUAGAUCGCGAGCGAAAGCGUUCAAGAGAACGGGGAUGAUGGAGUCGUACUCGCCGUGAUCCAAAUCACCGAUGACCAAGUGCUGAACGGACAGCACCUCCGCGUUCAACACACAUACGGAGCGGAUGACGUCUCCUCCUUCUUGAUCCAGCAAGGGGGAAGGAGAGGUUGAGGAAGAAGGCUCCAGCAGCAGCACGACGGCGGGGUGGUGGUGGAGAUGCAGUACUCCGGCAGGGCUUCGCCAAGCAACCGCGGGAGGAGGAAGAGGUGUAGCAGGGGGAGGGAGGCGCCAAGACUCAGGGUGCGGCUGCCCUCCCUCCCCCCUCCUUUAUAUAGGCCCCCAGGGGGGGCGCCGGCCCUAGAGAUGGGAUCUCUAGGGGGGGCGGCGGCCAAGGGGGCUGGAGUGCCCCCCAAGGCAAGUGGAGGCGCCCCCUCCCCUAGGGUUCCCAACCCUAGGCGCAGAGGGGGGCCCAAGGGGGGCACACCAGCCCACCAGGGGCUGGUCCCCUUCCCACUUCAGCCCACGGGGCCCUCCGGGAUGGGUGGCCCCACCCGGUGGACCCCCGGGACCCUUCCGGUGGUCCCGGUACAAUACCGGGUGACCCCGAAACUUUCCCGAUCGCUGAAACAGCACUUCCUAUAUAUAAAUCUUCACCUCCAGACUAUUCUGGAACUCCUCGUGACGUCCGGGAUCUCAUCUGGGACUCCGAACAACAUUCGGUAAUCACAUACAAGUCUUCCUAAUAACCCUAGCGUCACCGAACCUUAAGUGUGUAGACCCUACGGGUUUGGGAGACACGCAGGCAUGACCGAGACGGCUCUAAGGUCAAUAACCAACAGCGGGAUCUAGAUACCCAUGUUGGCUCCCACAUGUUCCACGAUGAUUUCAUUGGAUGAACCACGAUGUCGAGGAUUCGAUCAACCCCGUAUACAAUUCCCUUUGUCAAUCGGUACGUUACUUGCGCGAGACUCGAUCGUCGGUAUCCCAAUACCUCGUUUAGUCUCGUUACCGGCAAGUCACUUUACUCGUACCGUAAUGCAUGAUCCCGUGACCAAACAUUUGGUCACUUUAAGCUCAUUAUGAUGAUGCAUUACCGAGUGGGCCCAAAGAUACCUCUCCGUCAUACGAAGUGACAAAUCCCAGUCUCGAUCCGUCUCAACCCAACAGACACUUUCGGAGAUACCUGUAGUGCACCUUUAUAGUCACCCAGUUACGUUGUGACGUUUGGUACACCCAAAGCACUCUUAUGGUAUUCGGGAGUUACACUAUCUCAUGGUCUAAGGAAAAGAUACUUGACAUUGGAAAAGCUCUAGCAAACGAACUACACGAUCUUGUGCUAUGCUUAGGAUUGGGUCUUGUCCAUCACAUCAUUCUCCUAAUGAUGUGAUCCUGUUAUCAAUGACAUCUGAUGUCCAUAGUCAGGAAACCAUGACUAUCUAUUGAUCAACAAGCUAGUCAACUAGAGGCUUACUAGGGACAUAUUAUGGUCUAUGUAUUCACAUGUGUAUUACGAUUUCCAGAUAAUACAGUUAUAGCAUGAAUAAAGACAAUUAUCAUGAACAAGGAAAUAUAAUAAUAAUCCUUUUAUUAUUGCCUCUAGGGCAUAUUUCCAACAGUCUCCCACUUGCACUAGAGUCAAUAAUCUAGUUACAUUAUGAUGAAUCGAACACCCAUAGAGUUCUGGUGUUGAUCAUGUUUUGCUCGCGAAAGAGGUUUAGUCAAUGGAUCUACGACAUUCAGAUCCGUAUGUACUUUGCAAAUAUCUAUGUCUCCAUCUUGAACAUUUUCACGGAUGGAGUUGAAACGGCGCUUGAUGUGCCUGGUCUUCUUGUGAAAUCUGGGCUCCUUGGCAAGGGCAAUAGCUCCAGUGUUGUCACAGAAGAGUUUGAUCGGCCCCGACGCAUUGGGUAUGACUCCUAGGUCGGUGAUGAACUCCUUCACCCAAAUUGCUUCAUGCGCUGCCUCCGAGGCUGCCAUGUACUCCGCUUCACAUGUAGAUCCCGCCACGAUGCCCUGCUUGCAGCUGCACUAGCUUACUGCUCCACCAUUCAACAUAUACACGUAUCCGGUUUGUGACUUAGAGUCAUCCAGAUCUGUGUCGAAGCUAGCGUCGAUGUAACCCUUUACGACGAGCUCUUCGUCACCUCCAUAAACGAGAAACAUGUCCUUUGUCCUUUUCAGGUACUUCAGGAUAUUCUUGACUGCUGUCCAGUGUUCCUUGCCGGGAUUACUUUGGUACCUUCCUACCAAACUUACGGCAAGGUUUACAUCAGGUCUAGUACACAGCAUGGCAUACAUAAUAGAUCCUAUGGAUGAAGCAUAGGGGAUCACACUCAUCUCUUCUUUAUAUUUUGCCGUGGUCGGGCAUUGAGCUGAGCUCAAUCUCAGACCUUGCAAUACAGGCAAGAACCCUUUCUUGGACUGAUCCAUUUUGAACUUCUUCAAAAUCUUAUCAAGGUAUGUGCUUUGCGAAAGACCUAUGAGGCGUCUCGAUCUAUCCCUAUAGAUCUUGAUGCCUAAUAUGUAAGCAGCUUCUCCAAGGUCCUUCAUUGAAAAACACUUAUUCAAGUAGGCCUUAAUGCUGUCCAAAAGUUCUAUAUCAUUUCCCAUCAAGAGUAUGGCAUCUACAUAUAAUAUGAGAAAUGUUACAGAGCUCCCACUCACUUUCUUGUAAACGCAGGCUUCUCCAUAAGUCUGCAUAAACCCAAACGCUUUGAUCAUCUCAUCAAAGCGAAUGUUCCAACUCCGAGAUGCUUGCACCAGCCCAUAAAUGGAUCGCUGGAGCUUGCAUACUUUGUUAGCAUUCUUAGGAUCGACAAAACCUUCCGGCUGCAUCAUAUACAGUUCUUCCUUAAGAUGUCCGUUAAGGAAUGCCGUUUUGAUGUCCAUCUUCCAUAUCUCAUAAUCAUAGUAUGCGGCAAUUGCUAACAUGAUUCGGACGGACUUCAGCUUCGCUACGGGAGAUAAUGUCUCAUCAUAGUCAACCCCUUGAACUUGUCGAUAACCCUUAGCGACAAGUCGAGCUUUAUAGAUGGUAACAUUACCAUCCGCGUUCGUCUUCUUCUUAAAGAUCCAUUUGUUUUCUAUCGCUCGCCCAUCAUCGGGCAAGUCUGUCAAAGUCCAUACUUUGUUUUCAUACAUGGAUUCUAUCUCGGAUUGCAUGGCUUCAAGCCAUUUGUUGGAAUCUGGGCCCGCCAUCGCUUCUUCAUAGUUCGAAGGUUCACCGUUGUCUAACAACAUGAUUUCCAAGACAGGUUUGCCAUACCACUCUGGUGCGGAACGUGUCCUUGUGGACCUACGAAUUUCAGUAGCAACUUGAUUCGAAGUACCUUGAUCAUCAUCAUUAUUUUCCUCUCCAGUUGGUGUAGGCAUCACAGGAACAUUUUCCUGAGCUGCACUACUUUCCUGUUCAAGAGGUAGUACUUCAUCGAGUUCUACUUGCCUCCCACUUACUUCUUUCGAGAGAAACUCUUUUUCCAGAAAGGAUCCGUUCUUGGCAACAAAGAUCUUGCCCUCGGAUAUUAAGUAGAAGGUAUAACCAAUGGUUUCUUUAGGGUAUCCUAUGAAGACGCAUUUUUCCGACUUGGGUUUGAGCUUUUCAGGUUGAAGUUUCUUGACAUAAGCAUCGCAUCCCCAAACUUUUAGAAACGACAGCUUAGGUUUCUUCCCAAACCAUAAUUCAUAUGGUGUCGUCUCAACGGAUUUAGACGGUGCCCUAUAUAAAGUGAAUGUAGUUGUCUCUAGAGCGUAUCCCCAAAAUGAUAGCGGUAAAUCGGUAAGAGACAUCAUAGACCGCACCAUAUCCAAUAGAGUGCGAUUACGACGUUCGGACACACCGUUACGCUGAGGUGUUCCAGGCGGCGUGAGUUGUGAAACGAUUCCACAUUUCCUUAAGUGUGUACCAAAUUCGUGACUUAAAUAUUCUCCUCCACGAUCUGAUCAUAGGAACUUUAUCUUUCGGUCACGUUGAUUCUCUACCUCAUUCUGAAAUUCCUUGAACUUUUCAAAGGUCUCAGACUUGUGUUUCAUUAAGUAGACAUACCCAUAUCUACUCAAGUCAUCAGUGAGAGUGAGAACAUAAUGAUAUCCUCCGCGAGCCUCAACGCUCAUUGGACCGCACACAUCGGUAUGUAUGAUUUUCAAUAAGUUGGUUGCUCGCUCCAUUGUUCCGGAGAACGGAGUCUUGGUCAUUUUGCCCAAGAGGCAUGGUUCGCAUGUGUCAAAUGAUUCAUAAUCGAGAGACUCCAAAAGUCCAUCAGCAUGGAGCUUCUUCAUGCGCUUGACACCAAUGUGACCAAGGCGGCAGUGCCACAAGUAUGUGGGACUAUCGUUAUCAACUUUACAUCUUUUGGUAUUCACAAUAUGAAUAUGUGUAACAUUACGCUCGAGAUUCAUUAAGAAUAAACCAUUGACCAUCGGGGCAUGCCCAUAAAAAAUAUCUGUCAUAUAAAUAGAACAACCAUUAUUCUUGGAUUUAAAUGAGUAGCCAUCUCGUAUCAAAUGAGAUCCAGAUACAAUGUUCAUGCUCAAACUUGGCACUAAAUAACAAUUAUUGAGGUUUAAAACUAAUCCCGUGGGUAAAUGUAGAGGUAGCGUGCCGACGGCGAUCACAUCGACCUUGGAACCAUUCCCGACGCGCAUCGUCACCUCGUCCUUCACCAGUCUCCGCUUAAUCGCAGCUCCUGCUAUGAGUUACAAAUGUGAGCAAUGGCACCGGUAUCAAAUACCCAGGAGUUACUACAAGUACUGGUAAGGUACACAUCAAUUACAUGUAUAUCACAUAUACCUUUAAUGUUGCCGGCCUUCUUGUCCGCUAAGUAUUUGGGGCAAUUACGCUUCCAGUGACCCUUCUCUUUGCAAUAAAAGCACUCAGUCUCAGGCUUGGGUCCAUUGCUUGACUUCUUCCUAGCAACUGGCUUACCAGGCGCGGCAACAUCUUUGCCGUCCUUCUUGAAGUUCUUCUUUCCCUUGCCCUUCUUGAACUUGGUGGUUUUAUUGACCAUCAACACUUGAUGUUCUUUCUUGAUUUCUACCUCUGCCGACUUCAGCAUUGAAAAUACUUCAGGAAUAGUUUUCACCAUCCCCUGCAUAUUGUAGUUCAUCACAAAUCUCUUGUAGUUUGGUGGGAGCGACUGAAGGAUUCUAUCAAUGACCGCCUUGUCCGGGAGGUUAAUGUCCAGCUGGGACAGGCGGUUGUGCAACCCAGACAUUUUGAGUAUGUGCUCACUGACAGAACUAUUUUCCUCCAUCUUACAACUGUAGAACUUGUCGGAGACUUCAUAUCUCUCGACCCGGGCAUGAGCUUGGAAAACCAUUUUUAGCUCCUCGAACAUCUCAUAUGCUCCGUCUUGCUCAAAACGCUUUUGGAGCCCCGGUUCUAAGCUGUAAAGCAUGCCGCACUGAACGAGGGAGUAAUCAUCAGUGCGUGACUGCCAAGCGUUCAUAACGUCUUGGUUCUCUAGGAUGGGUGCUUCACCUAGCGGUCCAUCUAGGACAUAUGCUUUCUUGGCAGCUAUGAGGAUGAUCCUCAGGUUCCGGACCCAGUCCGUAUAGUUGCUGCCAUCAUCUUUCAGCUUGGUUUUCUCUAGGAACGCGUUGAAGUUCAUGUUGACAUGAGCGUUGGCCAUUUGAUCUACAAGACAUAUUUGCAAAGGUUUUAGACUAAGUUCAUGAUAAUUAAGUUCAUCUAAUCAAAUUAUUUUAAUGAACUCCCACUCAGAUUAGACAUCCCUCUAGUCAUCUAAGUGUUACACGAUCCGAGUCGACUAGGCCGUGUCCGAUCAUCACGUGAGACGGACUAGUCAUCAUCGGUGAACAUCUCCAUGUUGAUCGUAUCUUCCAUAUGACUCAUGUUCGACCUUUCGGUCUCUGUGUUCUGAGGCCAUGUCUGUACAUGCUAGGCUUGUCAAGUUAACCCUAAGUGUUUUUGCAUGUGUAAAACUGUCUUACACCCGUUGUAUGUGAACGUAAGAAUCUAUCACACCCGAUCAUCACGUGGUGCUUCGAAACGACGAACUUUAGCAACGGCGCACAGUUAGGGGAGAACACUUCUUGAAAUUAUUAUAAGGGAUCAUCUUAGUUACUACCGUCGUUCUAAGUAAACAAGAUGCAUAAACAUAAUAAACAUCACAUGCAAUUAUAUAGUAGUGACAUGAUAUGGCCAAUAUCAUAUAGCUCCUUUGAUCUCCAUCUUCGGGGCUCCAUGAUCAUCUUCGUCACCGGCAUGAUACCAUGAUCUCCAUCAUCAUGAUCUCCAUCAUCGUGUCUUCACGAAGUUGUCAUGCCAACGACUACUUCUACUUCUAUGGCUAACGCGUUUAGCAAUAAAGUAAAGUAAUUUACAUGGCGUUCUUCAAUGACACGCAGGUCAUACAAAAAUAAAGACAACUCCUAUGGCUCCUGCCAGUUGUCAUACUCAUCGACACGCAAGUCAUGAUUCCUAUUACAAGAACAUGAUCUCAUACAUCACAAUAUAUCAUUCAUCAUUCAUCACAACUUUUGGCCAUAUCACAUCACAAGACACUUGCUGCAAAAACAAGUUAGACGUCCUCUAAUUGUUGUUGCAAGUUUUACGUGGCUUCUAUAGGUGAUCUAGCAAGAUAGUUUUCUUAGGUACGUUAAAGCCACAACGUGAUUUGUCAACUUCUAUUUACCCUUCAUAAGGACCCUUUUCAUCGAAUCUGCUCCAACUAAAGUGGGAGAGACAGACACCCGCUAGCCACCUUAUGCAACUAGUGCAUGUCAGUCGGUGGAACCUGUCUCACGUAAGCGUACGUGUAAGGUCGGUCCGGGCCGCUUCAUCCCACAAUACCGCUGAAGCAAUAUAAGACUAGUAGCAGCAAGAAAGUUGACAACAUCUACGCCCACAACAAAAUUGUGUUCUACUCGUGCAAUAGAGAACUACGCAUAGACCUAGCUCAUGAUGCCACUGUUGGGGAACGUUGCAGAAAAUUAAAAAUUUUCCUACGGUUUCACCAAGAUCCAUCUAUGAGUUCAUCUAAGCAACGAGUGAUAGGAGUGCAUCUACAUACCCUUGUAGAUCGCGAGCGGAAGCGUUCAAGAGAACAGGGAUGAUGGAGUCGUACUCGCCGUGAUCCAAAUCACCGAUGACCAAGUGCUGAACGGACAGCACCUCCGCGUUCAACACACGUACGGAGCGGAUGACGUCUCCUCCUUCUUGAUCCAGCAAGGGGGAAGGAGAGGUUGAGGAAGAAGGCUCCAGCAGUAGCACGACGGUGUGGUGGUGGUGGAGAUGCAGUACUCCGGCAGGGCUUCGCCAAGCGACCGCGGGAGGAGGAAGAGGUGUAGCAGGGGGAGGGAGGCGCCAAGACUCAGGGUGCGGCUGCCCUCCCUCCCUCCCCUCCUUUAUAUAGGCCCCCAGGGGGGGCCGGCCUUAGAGAUGGGAUCUCUAGGGGGGCGGCGGCCAAGGGGGGUGGAGUGCCCCCCAAGGCAAGUGGAGGUGCCCCCUCCCCUAGGGUUCCCAACCCUAGGCGCAGAGGAGGGUCCAGGGCGGGCGCACCAGCCCACCAGGGGCUGGUCCCCUCCCCACUUCAGCCCACGGAGCCCUCCGGGAUGGGUGGCCCCACCCGGUGGACCCCCGGAACCCUUCCGGUGGUCCCGGUACAAUACCGGGUGACCCCGAAACUUUCCCGAUGGCCGAAACAACACUUCCUAUAUAUAAAUCUUCGCCUCCAAACUAUUCCGGAACUCCUCGUGACGUCCGGGAUCUCAUCCGGGACUCUGAACAACAUUCGGUAAUCACAUACAACUCUUCCUAAUAACCCUAGUGUCACUGAACCUUAAGUGUGUAGACCCUACGGGUUCGGGAGACACGCAGACAUGACCGAGACGGCUCUCCGGUCAAUAACCGACAGCGGGAUCUAGAUACCCAUGUUGGCUCCCACAUGUUCCAAGAUGAUUUCAUCGGAUUAACCACGAUGUCGAGGAUUUGAUCAACCCCCUAUACAAUUCCCUUUGUCAAUUGGUACGUUACUUGCCCGAGACUCGAUCGUCGGUAUCCCAAUACCCCGUUUAGUCUCGUUACCGGCAAGUCACUUUACUCGUACCAUAAUGCAUGAUCCCGUGACCAAACACUUGGUCACUUUGAGCUCAUUAUGAUGAUGCAUUACCGACUGGGCCCAGAGAUACCUCUCCGUCAUACGGAGUGACAAAUCCCAGUCUCGAUCCGUGUCAACCCAACAGACACUUUCGGAGAUACCUGUAGUGCACCUUUAUAGUCACCCAGUUACGUUGUGACGUUUGGUACACCCAAAGCACUCUUACGGUAUCGGGGAGUUACACGAUCUCAUGGUCUAAGGAAAAGAUACUUGACAUUGGAAAAGCUCUAGCAAACGAACUACACGAUCUUGUGCUAUGCUUAGGAUUGGGUCUUGUCCAUCACAUCAUUCUCCUAAUGAUGUGAUCCUGUUAUCAACGACAUCUGAUGUCCAUAGUCAGGAAACCAUGACUAUCUAUUGAUCAACAAGCUAGUCAACUAGAGGCUUACUAGGGACAUAUUAUGGUCUAUGUAUUCACACGUGUAUUACGAUUUCCGGAAAAUACAGUUAUAGCACGAAUAAAGACAAUUAUCAUGAACAAGGAAAUAUAAUAAUAAUCCUUUUAUUAUUGCCUCUAGGGCAUAUUUCCAACAGACCCUACCCCAGGUAUGUACCCUCAUCACUUAGUGGAGCAAACUUUUUCUCAAAAAUUGAUCUUAAAAGUGGCUAUUAUCAAAUCCGCGUACAAGAGGGUGAUGAAUGGAAAACUGCUUUCAAAACAAAAUUUGGCUUAUAUGAGUGGUCAGUCAUGCCUAUGGGUUUAUCGGAGGCUCCCGGUACUUUCGUGUGUCUCAUGCAUUAUGUGCUUCGCCCUUAUAUUGGAGUCUUUGUUGUGGUUUACUUCGAUGAUAUUCUUGUGUUUAGCAAAACCAUGAAAGAGCAGUUUUGCAAACCCUUCGCAAGGAACGUCUUUAUGCCAACAUGAAAAAGUGCACAUUUGGUGUUGACAAAGUGGUUUUCUUGGGUUUUGUUGUAUCUUCCAAGGGUGUCCAUGUUGAUGAAUCUAAAAUUGAAGCAAUCAAAAUUUGGCCCCAACCCACCAAUUUGCAACAAGUGCGUAGUUUUCUUGGUCUAGUAGGUUUUUAUCGUCGCUUUGUGAUAUACUUUAGCACUAUUGCCGCUCCUUUCCAUGCUUUGAGUAAGAAGAAUGCUCCUUUUGUUUGGGGAUCUUUGCAAUCCACCGCUUUUGAUGAGCUCAAGUCUUUGCUUACUCAUGCUCCGAUUCUUGCUUUGCCCAACUUUGACAAAAGUUUUGAGGUUCAUUGUGAUGCAAGUGGUACCGGAAUUGGCGGAGUUUUGAUGCAAGAAAAACGAGCCAUUGCAUAUUUUAGUGAAAAACUCUCCGGUGCUCAACUUAACUAUCCCAUCUAUGACAAAGAAUUGUAUGCUUUAGUGCGUGUGCUACAUGUUUGGGAACAUUAUCUUAGACCUCAUGAGUUUGUCAUCCAUACCGAUCACGAAACGCUUAAGUACUCAAAAGGUCAAACUAAGUUGAACAAGCGCCAUGCCAAAUGGAGUGAAUUUAUUGAAUCUUUCCCCAAUGUGAUCAAGUACAUUAAGGGUAAGUAAAAUGUAGUUGCGGAUGCACUUUCACGCAUAUGCACACUUGUCACUAAACUUGAGUUGAAUGUUAUUGGUUUUGAGCACAUAAAAGACUUGUAUGCUAAUGAUCCGUCUUUUGCGACUCCUUAUGCUAAAUGUUUAAUGCAUACAUCUUGGGAACAAUAUUACAUCAAGGAUGGUUAUCUUAUGAGAGCUAACAAACUAUCAUUCCCGAGUCUUCUCUUUGUUUGCUCCUUUUGCAAGAGGCUCAUGGAGGCGGACUCAUGGGACAUUUUGGAUGCGACAAGACAUUCGCCACGCUCUCCAAGAACUACUUUUGGCCCAAGAUGUUCCACGACGUAUCACGCUUCACCACCCGAUGCUCUACAUGUCGCAAAGCUAAGUCUAAAGCUCAAUCCCUUGGUCUUUACAUGCCUUUUCCUAUUCCUUAUCAACCUUGGGAAGAAAUUAGCAUGGAUUUUGUACUUGAUUUGCCUAGAACUCAAAAUGGCAAGGAUUCUGUGUUUGUUGUCGUGGACCAAUUUUCUAAGAUGGCACAUUUCAUCCCUUGCAACAAGAUAGACGAUGCUUCACACAUUGCAAAUCUCUUUUAUAGGGAAAUCUUGCGUCUCCAUGGAGUACCAAAGACAAUCGUCUCCGACCGCGACGUCAAGUUAUUGAGCUACUUUUGGAAGACCCUAUGCGCCAAGCUCGGAAUCAAGCUCUUGUUCUCAUCCGCAUACCAUCCUCAAACCGACGGCCAAACGGAGGUGACGAAUCGUACACUCUCCACUCUACUUCGCGUGUUGAUCAAGAAGAACAUCAAAGAGUGGGAGGAGUGUCUACUGAUCAAUUAAAAGUACAGCGGGAUAUUUCGCCCGAACUGCGAGUGUCGUGUUCUCCACAGGGACUAGACGAUCAGCAAUGAUGCUUGACUAAAGCUAGGCUAGACAAUUUAAGUGACGAUUACUGGGAACAUAAACCUAAAGUAUCUAAGAUCAUUUCGGAAAAUCGGUGACAAAGUAAACGAAAAGAAGCAAAGGGAGAUACAGAUUAUACUCUCUGUCUUUUUGGUAUUAUUUUUUAUUUGCAUGAGAAACUAAAACAGUAACACAAAGGGAACAACAAGACAUGAACACAUAAAGCAGAAUGGAAAUGGUUCACAUUACAAACAUAUUUGUCACAGAGACAAAGCUAUCACAGAGACUGAAAAUUAAACACACACAAAGUUAACUAGUACUGGAAGUUAACUAGUACAGGGGACUAGUACACAAGGUGAACACACAUACUCCCUCCGUUCCAAAAUAGAUGACUCAACUUUGUACUAACGUUAGUACAAAGUUGAGUCAUCUAUUUUGGAACGGAGGGAGUAUAUGCUAGCAAACCGGUAAUUCACACAUCAAAUCAAACAUACCAAAUAUUAUCCAAACAACUAGACAUUAACUAGUCAGAGCGCAUAAUAAAAUGCACUAUGUUUCACAAGUACGAAACUGAACAAUUGUCAGAUUGCAAGCUCUUAUCAAAUCUGAAUAUUACAUGAACUAAACAUCUCAAUUCUGAAUAUUCCAAAGUACUGAACAAUAAACUUCUCAAGAUUACAGAAAUUUGAGAUCGGAGAGAGAGAGAGAAGCAGCAGCAGCAGCAAGUUGGAGGAGAGCAGCAGCAAUUUUCUGGUUUAGAGAAAAUUAGGAGGAGGAGCGGAGCAAGAGAAGGAGGAGGCAGCAGCAGGAAGUUGGAGAAGGGAGAAGCAGCGGUAGGAAGAGAAGAAGCAGAGGUAGCAGCAGUUUAGUGGAGGAAGCAGAGCAGCAGCAGAUCGGCGCAAGAAGAAGAGCAGCAGCAGGGGGGACGUGAGAGGAAGGAGUAGCAGCAAGGAGAGGGAGAAGAAGAAGCAGAGGCGUGGGGAGGUUAGAGAGAAAGCAGCAGCAGAAUUUGGGGGGAGAAGAAAGGUGGAGGAGCAGCAGCAGUUCGGGCGUGGGGAGGAGAAGAGCAUCGGGGGCGCGAGAUGGUGGAUGAUGCAGCGGCGGUUGGUGGAGAUGGCACGGUCGAGCUAGUGGAUGGAUGGGAGGUGGAGGCGCACCAUGACACCGGCCUGGCCGUGGCGGCGGCCGGAGUUGGAGAAGGAGGGGUGAGAGAGAGAGAGAGAGAUGUGCCAGGCCCGAAGGGAAUUGAGUAUGCGCUAGGGAUUUUGAUCCCCUCCCCUGUUCUGCCACUUUACGAUUUGGCCCUGCUAUUUCUCUUCUUUCUUCCCAAGUAGGUCCUGCCAUCUAUAGCUUGGCCCCUUGAUUACUUCAAUUCUUCUCGCUCAAGUCCCUUUCUUCACUUCUUUCCUGCUGUUCUCUCUUCUCAAUAGCCAAUUUGUCCGAAUCUUGAAGUUUAUAGUGCCUUUGCGCACUUUUCUGCAAAAUAAUCAAAUGACAAGUAAAUGAUCUUUUAUAUGAUUUUCAUUCAAAUAUAUCAUAGUUCAUAACAAGAAUGGAUCGUUGGAUCACAAUAAAUGGUGUGUUUGUGUGCCAAAAUGUGAAUAGGAAAUGUACUUAUCAAGUUCCCCCACACUUAAAUCUUUACUUGUCCUCAAGUAAAGGCAUUUGACAAGAGCAAGGUAGUGAACAGCGAACUGACUAGAGAAUGUCCUAGUGAAGUAGAUCUCCAAACAAUGCAUGCUUUGAACUUUGCUAGUGAAAAUCAAUGGUUAAGAGUGCUACAAAGCAGUAGGAUACUAAUAAGCAUGACCAUUUUAAACUUUUACAAUGAUAAAAUAGGAUCAACAAGUUUAAAUGAUGACUGUGCCAAAUGGUUCCUAAAGAGAGCAUGAUCCCGAGAACAAAAAGAACAUAAACUUGUGAUCAGAUCACUUAUUUACAGAAAUAAAGCAAUGAUAAUAUUUUAUCGAUCUCACUAAAGGAACAUACCACCGAUCCCGAGAACAUGGUAUACACCCGGCUCGACCAAUUAUUAGUUUUUUUUUGUUUGUCUCCCCAAAGGAACAUACCACCGAUCCCGAGAACAUGGUAUACACCUGGUUCGACAAUUACAUUUUUUUAUUUUUAGUUACUGCCCAAGUUAACCCGAUUUCACAUGCCACCGAUCCAGGGAACAUGACAUGCUACUGUAGGUAUUCAGACUUAUUUAUUCAUUAUUACUUUUUUUAAAUGAACAACGCAUAAGCACAAAAAUAGGAAUCAUCACUUCUCCAUGUCUGGUUCACAUGCUACCGUUCCAGGGAACAUAGCAUGCUAAUCCAUAGUUGUUAGGUGAUUGCUCUCAAUGGGAACACAUUAGGCACAAACUCAACAUCUGACACUUAAUGAUCUAGGUGUAUCGAGGUAAAAGCAGAAAAUGAUUAAGUUUUCUAGUGUACUAGGGAUUUGAGCACUCAAAACUAAUAGCUUUCACUACUUUCAGCGAAGCAAACAGGUUGUAGAUCACUAGUUUACAAGGCAUUCAACAAUCAGUUCGCAUAUUCUCAUCAAGCACCAUAUGUCAAAUAAAAUUCAGUGGGGCAACAUUUAAGACAUGGCUUAAGAAACCCAAAUAACAUUUGAUUUCAGCAUUUAUCAAUGGAUGAUAUACUCGGAAUGGGUCAUGAAACAGCUCACCGAGCACUAUGAAGUAGCACUUGCUUGAUCACUCUCUAAGUUGCUGCUCCUCUCCUUUUGCUUCUCCAUCCUCAUGCCUGCUCCAGCUUCGCUCUUCCUCAUGUGUGCUCUUUGCUUCUCCUCAUCACCAUGCCGUGAAUCCACCAGGAUCCCAUGGGAUGUCAUCUCGAACUUGGUCGGCCCGUAAUGAAUGGUGCACAAGCGUAAACCUGAAAGAACACUCAACAAACAAGCCAAUAUAAAUGAUAGGGACAAUGCCCUCUAAGUCAUCAAUAGAGUAUCCUAUCAGAUAAGCAUAUCUAUUGAGCAUAUGAUAAAUAGAUAUCACCAAUAAAUCGCAUGGUGCAUAGGCAGUAUCCAUGAUAUGGCAUAUCUUGUCGAGAAAGCUGAGAUCAUACCUGAGAUAGUUAGGAAGAAGCUUCAGGACUACCUCCAUUGAAGAUACCAAGUGAGGUGUGGUAGUAGAAAUUUCCACCGGACUCGUGUCAACAAGUGAAAUAGAGCUUGACUCCUUGACAUCUGAAUCCACCUCACCAUAAUCAACCAUGAAGCUCUCCAUCUCAGGCUCAAGUGUUGAAGAAUCAAUGCGGCUGACAUCAUCAAAGGCGAACUUCUCCAUAUCUGGCUCUAGCAGCACAUGAUCAAUAUCAACUAAAGGUGACUCCUCAAUAUCAAAAGCAACGAACUGCAGCUCUGGCUCAUCCAUGGAAGAAUCAUCACAAUGCAAAACUGAAUCUCCAACACUAAUAUCCAGAUGAUCUGUAGCAUGUGUGUCAACUAGAAUGGUGUCAUCAUCGUCAAAUAUAAUCCAUGCAAGCUCAACCUUGUCACACUGAGAUAGAGGCUCAGGCUUUUGUGUAAGAAUUGGUGGUUGAGGUGUAGUGAUUUGUUGCAAGCAAACCAAUGAAUCAGACGUGGGCUUCUUAUUGUACCACUGAAGUUGGUGGAAAGCUAUGCUCUCAAUCAGCAGAAAAGCUUCAUCAAGUGUCUUGUUUGUAAUAGCUCCACCCGCUGCCAUAUCGACGUAAGCUCGAGUGUCCGAAGUCAAUCCUCUAUAGAAUAUCUGCAGCUCUAACCAUCUCUCGAGCCCAUGAUUAGGACAUCUCCUGAAUAAGGCUUUGUAUCUCUCCCAAGCAUCAUACAAGCUCUCGCCUUCACGCUGAACGAAAUUGAAGAUCUCAUCUCGAAUUGCGGACUGCUUGUGUAGUGGGAAAUAUUUAUCCAAGAAAGCUCGGGAUAUCUCAUUCCAACUGUAUGACCUUGAUGGCAAGGAUCGAUACCAAGCACGAGCAUCAUCACGGAGGGAGAAUGUGAACAACCUGCACAUGAUUGCAUCUUGAGGAACUCUAUGGUACUUGACUGUAUCUGAAUACUCCAUGACUCGGUGUAAGUGCUCAUAGGGAUCAUCAGUAGGCAGUCCUCCAAACUGUUGUUGUUGAACCAAAGCAAUAAGACCAGGCUUCAGCUCAAAAUUCUCUACCUCAAUAGUUGGCCAAACUGGUCCUGUGAUAUAACAUUGACUACUUGGCAUCCAAAGAUCAUGAAGCAAUGCCAUAUCUUAACCAAGUGUAACUAUAGAACAACCUGCAAAGAUUUAUGAUUCCCUACACACACUCAUAAACAGUAAACAUUAGUUAGAAGGUUAGUAUCCUAAUAAGCCGAAGCAACAAUGGGGGAAAAUAGAAGAAAAAAACACUGAAGAUGAAAUACACGACGAAUUGAACAAGGAACUAAAGUAAACCUAGUCUAUAGCCUAACACAAUCGCUCGACGUAAGUCCCUGGCAACGGCGCCAAAUUGAUCAAUUAAAAGUACAGCGGGAUAUUUCGCCCGAACUGCGAGUGUCGUGUUCUCCACAGGGACUAGACGAUCAGCAAUGAUGCUUGACUAAAGCUAGGCUAGACAAUUUAAGUGACGAUUACUGGGAAAAUAAACCUAAAGUAUCUAAGAUCAUUUCGGAAAAUCGGCGACAAAGUAAACGAAAAGAAGCAAAGGGAGAUUCAGAUUAUACUCUCUGUCUUUUUGAUAUUAUUUUUUAUUUGCAUGAGAAACUAAAACAGUAACACAAAGGGAACAACAGGACAUGGACACAUAAAGCAGAAUGGAAAUGGUUCACAUUACAAACAUAUUUGUCACAGAGACAAAGCUAUCACAGAGACUGAAAAUUAAACACACACAAAGUUAACUAGUACUGGAAGUUAACUAGUACAGGGGACUAGUACACAAGGUGAACACACAUAUAUGCUAGCAGACCGGUAAUUCACACAUCAAUCAAACAUACCAAAUAUUAUCCAAACAACUAGACAUUAACUAGUCAGAGCGCAUAAUAAAAUGCACUAUGUUUCACAAGUACGAAACUGAACAAUUGUCAGAUUGCAAGCUCUUAUCAAAUCUGAAUAUUACAUGAACUAAACAUCUCAAUUCUGAAUAUUCCAAAGUACUGAACAAUAAACUUCUCAAGAUUACAGAAAUUUGAGAUCGGAGAGAGAGAGAGAGAAGCAGCAGCAACAGCAAGUUGGAGGAGAGCAGCAGCAGUUUUCUGGUUUAGAGAAAAUUAGGAGGAGGAGCGGAGCAAGAGAAGAAGGAGGCAGUAGCAGGAAGUUGGAGAAGGGAGAAGCAGCAAUAGGAAGAGAAGAAGCAGAGGUAGCAGCAGUUUAGUGGAGGAAGCAGAGCAGCAGCAGAUCGGCGCAAGAAGAAGAGCAGCAGUAGGGGGACGUGAGAGGAAGGAGUAGCAGCAAGGAGAGGGAGAAGAAGAAGCAGAGGCGUGGGGAGGUUAGAGAGAAAGCAGCAGCAGAAUUUGGGGGGAGAAGAAAGGUGGAGGAGCAGUAGCAGUUCGGACGUGGGGAGGAGAAGAGCAUCGGGGGCGCGAGAUGGUGGAUGAUGCAGCGGCAACUGGUGGAGAUGGCACGGUGGAGCUAGUGGAUGGAUGGGAGGUGGAGGCGCACCACGACGCCGUCCUGGCCGUGGCGGCGGCCGGAGUUGGAGAAGGAGGGGUGAGAGAGAGAGAGAUGUGCCAGGCCCGAAGGGUAUUGAGUCUGCGUUAGGGAUUUUGAUGGUCGAAAUCACUAUUCUCACCCUUUCAGCAAACUUUGUCACAAAGUGAACUCGACAUGAAAGUAUUUCACGAUCUGACCCUUUUAGCAACGCCAUAGCCCGCGGCGUUUUUUCCCAAAAUAAAAACGCCGAGCUAGCUAGCGUUCCUGUCAAAAAAGAAGCGCCGAGGUAGCUUACGUUGCGGACCAUGUGAGAAACACCAGAGGGCUUUGGCGUUUCUGCCCUGGACAGCAACGCCAGGAGCUUUGGCGUUUCCAUGAUGUGUCGCCUGCUUGUAGCUUCAGAGCAGCACGGCAUGCAUGCCACUAGUGGUGCUUGCCUGCCUGAAUUUGCGGGUCGGUCAGACCACUGACCACUGCAUGCACGAUCGACGUGAGUAUGAGGGGCAACAUGACAAGGCCAUGCUACUGGUAUGUUUAGCAACCAAUGAUGGCUUGCUUUUGAACUGUUUCCGAUUAAUUAACCACCUGGUAGCAGCAUGCGUGCAUGCACCAUGCAUGUGGUGUGCUUAGCACUACGCGUAGGGAGACAGGGCCAUGCAUUUGCACGGCGCGCACACAUGCAUCUGGCUGCGUGAUUAUUCCUCCUGGAUUGACUGGACGUCUCACUAUAUAUCCACACCAACGGUGAAGCUACGUACUAUAUCAAGUGUAGCAACGCCAUGGCCAUCGGCGUUUUCAGCCUGGCCAGAAACGCCAAAGCUUUUGGCGUUUCCGGAAACGCAAUCUGGCUCGGCGUUUUGAACAUGCCACGUCAGUGAAUGGGGCCACGACAGUAACGCGAGCUGGCUCGGCGUUUUUAUGUGGGGAUGAAACGCCACGGGCUAUGGCGUUGCUAAAAGGGUCAGAUCGUGAAAUAAUUUUGUUCCGAGUUCAUUUUGUGCUAUGGUUUUCUGACAAGGUCAAAACAGUGAUUUCAGCCGAUUUUGAUCCCCUCCCCUGUUCUGCCACUUUAUGAUUUGGCCCUGCUAUUUCUCUUCUUUCUUCCCAAGUAGGUCCUGCCAUCUAUAGCUUGGCCCCUUGAUUACUUCAAUUCUUCUCGCUCAAGUCCCUUUCUUCACUUCUUUCCUGCCCUUCUCUCUUCUCAAUAGCCAAUUUGU